rnacentral:lncRNA from 1 species
UUGUGUUUGGUUGUAUGUAGGAAGCAUACAAACUAUUUAUACAAACGUAUGAUGAAGGAAUGAGAAACAUAAAUAAAUUGGUUACAAAAAAAAACCCACUAACAAGCUCAUUUCGCAUAAAACCAUCUAUGGAGAGGGGUGAUUCGUAGCACGGGAAGACCCCGCAAACAAAUGACUUUCGCUGUUUUGUAAUUAGCUUUUUUACCUUAGCAUAUAUAGUUUUCUUUCAUUUGAUUCGUACCCUUAUAUUAUAUGCGGAUAAUUGAUACGAAACACUUAUUAAAUUCAUGUGAAUGUCUACAAUAAUGAGGUUAUAGUUUCGUUUAUUGAUUAUAUAGAUAAUCAAUUUAGCUGACAAAUAUGUUCCGUCACUUUCUUUUAUCUGAUAGAAAUCAGUUAUAAUAACUCUCAUUUACAGGUCCAUAAGCGAGGAUAUCAAUAGUGAUUUCUUAUGAUUAGGAAUCAGAUGCAUUUCAAACUACAAAUCCCUUAACUAGAGGUUAUACAUAUAUAGACAAUGUACCAAAAUUUGUAGUAAAAUAUAUUACACUGACGCAUAAUAUAAAUAAUGCAGGGAAAGUACGCACCCGAAGUACUUCACAUUCUUAAGACACGUGAAAUCAUGCAUGCAUGGAUUUCAACUUAAACAAAUAAAAUAUCUUCUAACGAAAAAAAACAAAUAAAAUCUCUUCUAAGAUAUAGUGCAUGCAUGCUUCGCACCGUUCUAUUGCUUUCUUUAUUUCUUAACAAUGUUUACUUUUUUCGGGAAGACGAGCUAUUUCCCCAUGAGAAGUAUCGUAUAGCAUCAUAUGUCUCUCAAACUAUGACCUCAUUCUAGAUGUCCCCGAAAUAAAAGUUCUAAACCUAUUUUUCCAUUAAACUUAAGCUUACUAUUUAUAUCUCCAUAGAUUAAAAGUUCGAAAUCCAUGACCCCAUAAAAUUAAAUUACUUGGUUUAAAAAUUUUAUUGAUAAACCAAAACCAUCAAAAUUUUAAUAAUAAACCAAACUAAACCAAAUUCAAAAAUUAAACCUGACUCUACAAAAAAAAUAAAACAAACCAACGCUUUUGGUCUUCUUAUUCCUUCAUCAAUCUGUAACCAUGGUUGAAUUCAAAGACUCAGCAAUUUUCAAAAACCCAGCUUGAAGCCAUAGUAGAAGUAGUCGAGAAAUCAAAAUCAUAAACCCACAAAGUUUCUUCCUUUUUCUUUUACUUCUACGUGAGACUUGUCUUCUCUAAUCCAUUGAUGUUCUGUCUAAAUAUUAUUAAACUUGAGACACUAAUGACAGUUUCCUCCAAUUAAGAGAUUUGAUUUAUUCAGAAUGGGGCUGAAGGAGAAGACAUAAAGAAACAAUGUGUUAAUGGUGAUAGAGGUGGUGGGGCCGUUGAAUCAAAACUUGUAAACCAUUGGGUUAAUGGUGAUACCAAUCUCUUUAUCUCUCUUGAAGAACAUGUCUGUAUUUUUAGCGACGAGAUUAACAAGCAUAUCCAAAACAAUGAGAGAAGAAAGAAGAAAUCAAUUAAUGGAAGCAAUACAUAUGUAGAUGAAGAAGUGAUUGGUUAGGGAUUAGGUGAAGAAAAAAUUGGGUAAAAUCUGGGGAAAAAGGGGUGAGGAAGAGGAUGAUGGUCGGGUCACGCUUUUUAAUUGGUUUAACUGAAUUAGGUGUCGGUUCUAUUUACGAGUUUUUUUUGUUUGGUUUUGUGAUUAAACCGAAAAUUGUCUUAACCAAUAUCAAAUUGAGUUUCAUGGAGAAAUAUGUUUAGAACUUUUAUUUCGAGGACAUCUAGAAUGAGGUCAUAGUUUGGGAGACAUAUGGUACUAUACGAUACUUCUCAUGGGGAAAUAGCUCGUCUUCCCACUUUUUUCUCAUAAAUGAUUUUUCACACCUUCUUGCGAGACAAUCUCAAUAUGAUUACAGUAAGAAAUGUAUAUGUAAGAAAGCCGUGAUCAAUGAAAUCGGUUGAUAAUAAAUAAAAAAAAAACGGUUGACAAAGAAAAAAAUUAAGAAAUCAGUUUAUGGAGAUGGAUCUUCUUCCUGUUUCCCAUUAAUCUAUUGCAAUGCAGAACACUGUUUUAAUCAUCAUUAUAGGCUAGACGAUUAUUUCCCCAGAAAUGCAGUCUACUGAUCUUCUAUUACUAGUGUAAUAACUGUUUCGCUAUUUGAAUUCAAACCCGAAUAAUAAAUUUGUUACCAAUAGUCUAGUGGUAGAGUACAAGAACCUAAAUGAGUAAAUGUAAUUAGUUUACUUAUACAGCGAAACAUCUAUAAAUUAAUAAUAUUGGGACUACACCAAAAUUAUAAUUUUUUUAUUAAUUUAUAGAAAUUAUUAAUUUAUUGAUAUACUAAUUGAACCAAAAAUUUAAUUUGGGACUAUAAAAUUAUAUUAUUUUAUAGAGAUUUUUAGUGUAUAUUAAUUUAUAGAGUAUUAAUUUAAAGAGGUUAUACUGUAUAUAAUGUUUUUUUACGAGUAAUUAUAUAUAUAUAUAUAGUGUUACUUUCAAAAUUUAUUCAUAUAUACAAUUACUUGAUGAAGGUAAUGCAUAACUGAUGUAUAUGCAUUUAAAGUGAAGUAAGCUGGAGUGGGGCUGCAAAAUAUCCAUAAAUUUUAAUUUGAUUCGUUGUUUGUUUCGAUCUGAAUCAAAAAUUGAACUGAAAAUUCAGAAUAUUCGUAAAUCUACGAACCAAAUCACAAAUACUAAUAUUUUAUAAAAGAAUAUCCGAUCCGAUCUGUUAUAUGUAUAUAUAUGCAUAUAUUUACAGAAAUAUAUAUAUAUAACUUAUAUAAAUAUUAUAUUUUUAUAAAUUUUACAAUUUUUAUUUAUUAAUCUUAUUAUAUUAGUUAUUAGAAUUGAAAAAGUAAAUAAUUUUUUAUUUUUUGUAACAAAAUAUUUAUUUAUAUUAUUUGAAUUUUUUAAUUAUAAUUUUAUUUUAUUUGUACGGAUCGAAUCGGAUAUCCGAUUAAAAAUCUAAAAUUUUUCGGAUAUCCGGAACUUUGAAUAUUCAGAUAGUUACGAAUCAAAUCGAAUAAUUGAUUAUUCGGAUAAAACAUAUAAGAUCACGAAUACCUCCAAAAAUCAGGAUAUUCGAUAUGUGUCUACCCCUAAGUUGGAAGAAGUCAUGUUGUCCGGUUUAUAUGAGAUUGUCCAUGUGCACAAAUUUAUAGAUAGCCUUUUAUAUUCACACAUUCAUACGAACUAGUACGUGUUUUAUCUCCUCUAUUUGACAUCGAUCGAGCUGAAGGAAUAUACAAGCAUAGUAAUCAUGUAGUUCUUGCAAUAGAUACAUUGAAUCACCGAAUGUAUAAAGUGAAAAAAAAAACUAAGAAUUCCAACAUGUGAUUGUGGCCUAGUGGUACACUGACUUCAAUUUGUUAAGCAACCUAGGUUCGAAUGCCCCCAGUACAUUUCAUCAUGUAACCAUACAAAUAUGGUUUCGUUGCUUAGUAUUCAUUUGAAUACGUUGAGAGAGAGAGAGAGUCCAUCAGUUGGCUACACCUCGUCUUUGAGAUUAGUCUAGACCAUUUCGUAGGUCAGGAAUACCCUCAGACUAAUAAAAAAUAUAUAAAGAAAUGAUUCAUAUAAAAAAGAUAUUCAGUGUUGUCGAAAAAAAAAAUAUAUCUAAUGUUAAGUUACAUCAGAUUCCAACUUAAAGUUAAUAGGUAAUAAAUCAAUAUGUAUAUUACUGGGAAAAUUGGGAAAAUAAGCUAUAAUGAAAUAGUUUGUGUCCUUUUAUACAUUUGCAUUAAUUGAUCAGUUUUGGACAUAAUUACCCGCAUAAUAACGAAAAUAAUUAUGAAAAAUUAUAUAGAGUUCAGAAAAUAUGAAAAAUCAAUACAAUCAUGAGAAUAUUUUAAAUGUUUUGAACUUAAUAACUAAAUUCCAAAAAAAAAAGUAGGAUGUGUCAAUCUAGAUUUGUUAGAAUGUUUAUUAUCCUUUUUACAAGGAUAAAAUAGACGUUCUAACUAAUCUUCAAUCUCUUAUAAAAGUUAGUAUUCGUAUUGUAAACUUUUAUCUAUGAUCUAUUUAAAUAUGAAAUAUGUCUUCCUCAGUUAUAACCAGAAUGCUUUGUUAUUUAUAACAUACAAUAUAUAUUGUAAGUUCUUACUUCAUUGUAGAAAAAUAUACAUAUAAUUCUUACUUUUAGCUAUUUUGUAAACACAUUAGAAUUUAUAUUCUAACCUUUUGUCUGUGUUCUAUCUUGUUUAGAAUAUAUAUUAUAUAUUUCUCUAUUUUAUGUUUUGAAAUCUGAAAAAAUCGAGGAAACAAUCUUAACUAAUUUUAUUUGAACUUAUCUUGUUUUUGACCUAAAGUAACAUUGAAUAACGUUUACUUCAUCUCUUUUUUAUUCAAUGAUCUUGUUCCUUUCUUCAUCUUCCCCAUCUCUUACUUAUCAAAUCAAAUAAUUCAUAUCUAUGUAACAUGUAAUGUUUGGAGACACAAUACAAAUAACGAGUGGAAGUUCAUUGUUGAUUCGUUUUCGGUGGUCUUCAUUUUCUCAUAAGGAAGGCGGAGUAAAUGAGAAAAAUGACGUAAUUAGGCUUUCAGGGAUAUUUUCCCUUUUUACCAAAUAUAAGGGUAAUUCUUUCAAAAGAACAUAAAUAAACAAAAAGUAACUUUUAUUUUAAUAUUUUUGAAUAAUAAAUAUUUGAAUUUGAACUUUUUUCAAUUUUUAUUUUCAAAUUUUUAUUUUGAAAUCCAGAUUUUUUUUUGAAACUAUUUAAAACAAAUUAUUUUAAAUUUUAUUAUUUAUUUAUAUAUUUAGAAUCAUCCUACAUCAUUUAUCAAAAUAUAUUUACUAUUUUAAAGUUAAGUAAAUUAUGUUCCUUUUUAAUUAGAGGGUUAAUUUCAUAUUUUAAAAAAUCAAAGGUAUAUUUAGACAAACUCAUAGAUUGAAAGGGACAAGGGACAAAUUCAUUCCCAAUCUGGUCCAAUUAGCCAAUUUUCCCUCUAUUAUUUAUGAUAUUUUAAAUUUUUGAUGUAAUAAUUUGUCUAUAAUAUUGGUAAACGGAUAAAGUUUUACCAUUAAUUUUAGGAUAUCAGACAUGAAUCAGCAUGCCCAAUAUUUGGGUCAGACUUACUUUUAGUGGACUAAUAAUACUCGGCCAGGAUUGAUUGAAUCGGAAAGGACAAUGUCUAUCAUUCUUUUCAUUAGAGUUAUGGUAGCCACGUUCUCUUAUACUCAAACCUUUAGUUUCGGCAAUCUUGUUCAAUUCAUAAGAUAUUAUGUGUUCCUAAUUUUUAUUAUUAUUCUUCUAUUCAUUACUCUUUUUAUUAUGAAAUGGUAAGCAUAGAUCCAUCAAGCCCAUUGUAUAGGGUAAUUAAGUAUAAUUACAUGAUGCAUUCGAAUAAUAAAAAAUAUGUAACAAAAAUAGAUUGCAAAAGUAUAUUGAAAACAUCACACAGAGAGAGUUUUUUUUUGUCUCUGUUUUGGUGUGGUUCGAAAUUACCUCCCGAAUCUCUAAACAUCAAAAUGUUUUAUUGAGAGAAUCCAGAAUGAUAAAUACUUACUGAAAUUGUUAUGAAAAACUAUGACUAUGACUUUACUAUUUUUUUUCAAAGAAACAACUAUGACUAUUGUCUAAACCAGCCUAAAUUUUAAUCAUUAUUAAAAACACUGUUAACUAAUUACUUAGUCUUAAUUUUAUCUGUUAGUCUCUCUUGUCUUUCAACUAAUGGAUAUUUUUUUCUGAUGCUUAUUUUGCCUUUGAUAUUGUCUUUUGUUCUUUUGUGUUAUUGAAUAAGAUCUUUUAGAAGUUUCUUUUGAUUCAUUUCAUUUGUUUUUAUAGUUUUCAUGCAUAAAGCUUGUGCCCAUUUUUACAACGCUAUAUACGUUAUUAUUUCUAGUUACAUAUUGAACAAAUGGAGUUUUAGUUACUACUGCCUAGUCCAUAAGGGUGAAUUGGUUUAAAGCCCUAAAAAAAUGAAAAUAUCUAUGAUGUGACUAGUUUGAUAUCACUUUGUGGGAUUUAGGGUAUUUGGUUAAUUAGGGUAAAAGUUUAGUGUAUGGGGUGCAAUUUCCCAUUCCAUAAUAUUUGUACAAAUUAAUUUAUAAAAAUAAUAUGUACUAUUAUUUUCUGAACAAAUAUAUAUAUAGACUUAACAUUCAGACAAAAAGUAGAAGAGAUUGAAGCUAACUACUGGCAUUGAGAAAUCCUAAAUUGUGCACAAUUGCAUGCUUGUAUGGAUAUAAGUUAAUCACUGAAAGUCAAACUCUAUUGGUAGAAAGAGUAAAUUAAGAAGGUCAACUUGAGUGACCAUGCAAGUUGUCUAAAAUGAUAAAUUCAAGUUGAACUAUCUCAUUAAAUUUAGUGAUUUUUUUUAGAAAAGAUACAGCGAACCUAAAUAAACUUUAGGAUCUUUGGAUGGAAUAUGUUGAACUAAUAGUUAAUUUAUUAGUUAGCCGCUUCUUUUUUACCAGCCCAAAUGAAAAGUCCUCUCUUUAAUUGAAAUAUUAUUUGAGUAAAGGAUGAUUGGUUAGUCUGUAACACUUUUACAUCCAUUUUUUUUACGUCGAAAAUUUUGUUUACAACUAUAAAUUUAAACCAAUCCAAUUUUUGUCUUCUCUAAAACACUCACAACCCAAAACUAAACAAAAUGUUUUUUUUUCCUCUUUGUUGCUGUAGAAGCAUUAUCUCACAUGCGUCUAAUAGUUUACCAAAUAAAUAAUCUACAUAAUAUAGCAACACAUGUUUUACUUUAAAAAUAGUUAUAUAUAAAAUAUUACGGAUAUAACCAAUAGUGAUACACAUAAAAAUCUACAGCAAAAAAAAAACUAAAGCAUAUAACAAAAUAUGUACUAUAUAUUUAGGGAAAUUCUCUCAAAUAACAUUUUUUAAGUUUUCGUCACCAAAAUAGCCCAUUUUUAUUUUAUAAUUUUUAAUAUUUAUGUUUUAAAAUUUGAAACCAUAUUCCCAAAACUCACUCCUUAACUAUAAACUCUAAUUCUAGAUUAGUUAAUCAUAGAUUAAUUUACUCUUUAAUAAAACUUAUUUUGGUCAUUUUCUUCAUUGAAAGUUAUUUUGUGAAAAUAAACUAAAAAUAGCUAUCCUAAGAAAUUUCUUAUAUAUUUAUAGAAAUAACUUUAGCUAUCUGGGUUAAGUAAAGUUUUCAUGUUUUUCAAUCAUGGUUUAUCAUAGAAUUGAAAUCCAAACACAAUCACUGUUAUUUAUGUGUUAUUAGUUCUGUUAUAUGUUAAUAACGUUCAAAAAUUCUAAAUUUAAGUGUUAUUUAGCUAUAAUAUAAAAAAUAUUAAAAUUCCAUGAAAAAAUAAAUAAAUUUUGAAUAUUUAUAUAUUGAAAAUAUUUAAUUUUUUUAAUUUUUAUUUUGUAAAUUAACAAGUUAAUUAUAGUAGUAUAAAAUCAAGAUAUAAUAAAAAAAAGUAUUUUGCAUUCCUCGCAUUAUUUAUAUGAAUGGUUCCCCCACAAAAAAAUUUCAUAACAGAAUAAAAGAGUAAAUCUGUAAGAGUAUAAAAUACUUGGAGCAAAUUACAAAUCAGUAUGGAAUAAAGUCUUUACACCAUUUCUAACUCAUCUCCAUUUUAAAAUUCUUAUAUUACAAAAGAAAAAAUAAAGAUGCAAAUUUUACUUAAAUAUAUUCUUUUAUAAUAGAGAAAUGCUAUUAUUUUUUUAUUUAUAGAUAAAACUAUAUUUGCUUCUAAAUAUAGAAGACAAUAUAUAGAGGAAAAUAUAAAUAGAAAAACAUAACACUCACGUAUUAUGGAAAAAUAUAUUGGAGCAAAACCUCAGCUCUAUUUUAGAAUUCCUCAAUCAUAGAAGUAAUAUAGAAGUGUAUCUUAGCUUCAUAAUGUUUUUUUCACAAGCAAGCAAUAUAUUUUAGACCAUAUUCAAUAAGUUUUGAUAUUGUUUAUUUAAAACAUAGUAUUUCUAUAAUAAAUGUAUAAUAUUCUAAUGUAUUUCCAUAAAACAAUAUCCCUCUAAACAUAGAGUAAAAAUAGAUAAAAUGAUAUCUUCAAAAUAUCGAGUAAAAAGGAAAACUUUGUUAAGUAGACUUCCUGGCAAGACAAGCUCGAACAAAGAAGCGUGUUUUCUCAUAUGAUAACACGUGUAUGCCACACUGGAUCGACAUUCGCAAUUCGGCUUUUGCCGAUUCGUACUAAGAUUUAUCUUUGUAUCUCAUCGUGAAAAAAAAAAGAGGAAAACUUUGUUUUAAUGAAAAAUUAGAACUGGAUUGAGACAAAAUUACUACUAUUACAAGUUUGAAUAUCUAUCUUAUUAACUUAUAUCUACAAAACAUAGCUUAUCUAUUUUUUAAGUGUUUUAUUACAUCUUUUACAUUUUUUCACUCAUCAUAAGUAUUUAAUUAAUUUUCAUCAAGUAAUAAUUUGGCAGAUAUUUACUAACCAUUUUGUGUAUUUAUUACAACUUUUAUCACUAAGAUAUUAUCUACUCUUAGAUUUCAUCCUUGAUUGUCUUUUUGUCAUUUAAAAACAAACAUAAAACUUACAUAAUUUGCUAUUCUAUCUAAUUAAUAUUCUGAUUUCUCACCAGCCAUUUAUUAUGUUAAUCAAUAAUUAAUAAUUUGAUAUUCUAACAAAUUAAUAAUAUAUAUAUUUAAAUACACUAUACACUUUUAAAAGGGAAUCUAAUAUAUUUACAUAACAUUCAUAAAAUAUAGACAUCCAAUACACAACACAGUCUCAUAUGUAUAUUCUGUAAUUACACAUAACACAAGUACUUAUCUUUAUAUAAUAAUACAAGUACUUAUCUGUAUAUCCUGUGUGUCUCGACUUUUAAUAAUUUAUUAAAAUUCUACAUAUUUUUAUUUAUAAAAAUACAUAUAAAUUACUAACACAGUAACAUAUUUUUUUUAAACAAUAUAUAUUUUUUCUCAAAUAUAAAACAUUUAUAACUAGAAUAAGGUUUUUGCGGGGUUUUCCCUAAUAUUUACUGAAUUAAUGGGUGAAUUUACUUUAUUUUCAUAAAUAUAAAAUUAUUUUCAUUUAAAAUGUAAAAUAUAAAUAGUCAAUUUAUAUAGUAUAUAACUAAAAUAUAAAUUAGUCUAUCAAUAUAUUAUUGUAUGCAUAUUUUCAUAUAAAUAAUAGCAUAAUAUAAAAUCAAUAAAAUAAAUAUAUGAUAAGAAAUGUGAGUGAUAUAGUUGACGGCUUAAAAAACAAAAUAAAAUCACUCAAUAAAAUGUAUAAAAUUAUUGUGCUUAGAAAUAUCAUAUUACACAAUUAUUUGAUAAGGAUAAAUGCUAAAAAAUAUAGCGCCAUUUAUACAAAGCAAAUUAUUUACUUACAAACAAAUCAAAUAUAUAUCUGUGAUGGUGCUUUAGUCAAGCCCUACUCAUAAAUUUAAAUUAAAGUUCAUACAAGAACCUAUUUUUGACAACCCCCUUCCCUCUUUAAAAAUCAUACAAGAGAGUUUUUUUUUGUCAUCCAUACAAGAGAGUUAUCUUGUUAAAAUAAGAAAUUAUUUUGGAAGCAAUUACUUGUUUUGCAUUUUAAGUAAUGAUGUUUUAGAUUUUUGUUUGUGUUUAUAAGAAUGAUAUUUUAAAAUUAUAAUAAAUAAUUAAUAAUUAAUAAUUUAUUUUUCUUUAUUUCCUUAAAUAAAAGAUAUGAAAUUACCUAAUAUUAUAUAUAUAUGACAACUAAUGAUAUUAAUAAUAAAUAUUUGAUGACAAUUUUUUUAUCUUCCAUCAUUAAGUUUAAUUUACAUUAUUAAAAUAAAUUGAACAACCAUAUUAACCAUAUGUUAAAAAUUACAUUUUUUCGUAUAUGUUAUUUAAUUUUUUAAAACGACUAUAAAUUAGUAAAACUGUUAAAAGUCUCACAUUGAAAAUUAUUGUGAUCAGUGAUUUAAAUUUUUUAUUAUAAUAAGAUAAGAGUAAAAUACACAAAUAUUUUAAUUUCAAAAUUUUCAUUUAAAGAAUUAAAAAAAAUUAAUAUUUAAUUUCAAAAUUUGUAGUAAAUUUUCAAGAACGAUUAUAAAUUAUUAAAAGCUCCUUAUUGAAAUUUUUGUGGUCAAUAGUUUACAUUUUUUGUUAUAAAAAUACACAGAUCAUAAUAUCAUAUGAUUAGGAAGUCUAAUUUAAUAAACAUAAAAUAUAUUAUACUAUCUAUGUUAAUAUUAUUUAAUUAUGUACCAUGGAAAUUGAUAAAAGUGAUUGUUUAGAUCUAUUUAAUAUAAAUUGAUUGUAAAUAAACAAAAAAUAAUUUCUUUGAUUUAUGUGCUUGCGAUAACUAAUUAUGUACGUAAUAUUUCAUUGUUUUUCAAUUAGUUAAUAUAUAUUUAUUAUUCUAUUAUUUUAUAAUAUAUUAAAAUGUAAAGCAAGUAAUGAAAAAUAAUUUUUAUAUACAAAAAUCUUAAACUAGUUAUUUUCUAUUACUAAGAGAGGAUAAAUAAAGAAGGCAGGAAUCUUUAUAAAAGGAAUCGAGAGCUAUAAAUGCUCUUAAUGACAACAAAUAACUACAGAAAGCAAUUAAAAACAUUUGGACUAUUCACAUUAAUCGAGACUAUUAACAUACACUGAUUGCUAAAUGUGAUACUAAUUAUUCAUAAUGGUCUCCUCUUAGUUUUAUGUUUAGAGAAAGGAAUACUGGCCUAAUGACUUUAUGCUUUAACAUGGAUUCACAGUAUUGUUUAACAUGGUUUAUAGAGUGUAUUUAUUUAACAUGUUUAUCUUUUAAUCAACAUAAUUAUGAAAAUUUUAUUAACAACGAAGUUUUCAAUCAUAUUUGGUGUAUUUUCGGUAUAAAACUUGUGUAUUGAAAGAAAAAAUAGUCUACCAAAAUUUGAUAACCCCACAAAAUGCCAUAAUAAUAUCAAGCUACUACGAUAAAGUUGCCGUUUUGGAUGAUUUCAUUCACUAAAAUAAACGAUUUAAUUAGGAAGCCUAAAACGAUGAUAAUGACAAAUAAAAACUGCGAUUAGGAUCUUUUACUAGUAUUUAAUCCCCGGCUCACAUUGUAUAAUCAAAUCCCCGGCUCACAUUGCAUAAUCAAAUCGGCGUGCACGUGGAUCCUCUUGUUUUAUAAAUCAUACUUGUUCAUUUAAUAAACAUACUUUAUGAUAUCAAAUCCAGCCUGCCAUUCUCUUAAUGACACAUGGUUUGUGAUUCGAUAUGUAGGAUACGACCUGGAGAUGUAUUGUUUUCAACUCCUUACACAUAGUGACAAUACAUAUAAAGCCCUGAUCUAAAUUGUACCAUGUGCAGUUAUAUAUUUAUAUAAUUUUCUCCGUGAAUAAUUAGUUAUUGGUGAUUUUGUAAUUAUAUUUCCGUUUUUUAUUAAUGUUUGUAUUACUAGUAAAAGAAUAUAUUACACCUUGGGUCAUAUUCGGUGUCAUUGAAUAUAAAACACUCAAAAUAAAAUAUUGUUGUGUAUUUACCAUCGAUUAGGCUUACUAGGAUUUUUUUUUUGUUUGAAAAAGAGCAUGACUUACUAGAAUAUGUUCUUACUGUUUUUAAAUUAUUAGGAUUUUAUUUAGUUUAAUAAGAAACAACAAAAACCUAGAUAAAGGGUAAAGAUACAUAUUCAUCAUAUAUAAGGUAGAUUGAUAUUGGAGAAGCUUUAUAUGCUGUUGGAAAGCCGAAGUCCCGAAUUCUUAAGGUUGUGCAACUUUGAGGUUCCACCACAGUUGUAAUUUGGUUUUUGGAUAGAAAUUUUUUUCAAGUCCACAGCAUAUAAACUUCUUUGUUUCUGUCCGAAGUUUGAAAAUCGGAACGUUCUGUCAUCAGAACACUUACUUCGAUUCUUUUAGCCUUUCAUAUGGCUUAAAUUUUAGUUUUCAACUCAUUCUAUUUUUGUAGUUCUUUUAACUGUUUGGCUCAGAAAGAAUCACAAUUUUUAUUGGCUAUUGGCUCUGAAAAUAAUGAUUUUUUUGCUGGCUUGUGUAAAACUUUAUGUUUUAAAAAAAAAAUAUAAUUCAACAAAUGACAAAAAAAAAAUCCAAAGUCCCUUUCACAAAUUCUUUAUUUUUACAUUUUAAAAAUUAUUUAUUUUGGAUAGACUGCAACACUUGUCUCUAGUCAAUCCAGUUAAUGCCUGACGAAAUCAUUUGUGGCUACAACUGUCAUGACAACGUAGCUUGUCAUAUUACAUCACAUUCUGCUAAACGUAAUACGGGAGUAUUAUUAACGAUAUUAUCCACUAAACUACUUAUGCUACGCAUUAUUAUUUUGCCAAAAAUAUGCAUAAUUACCAAGUAAACAAAGGAAGUAAGACUGUACGCUGAAGUGGCAUGGCGUUUAUAUUUUAAAAUUAAAUAUGAAAUUGUAUUUCAAAUUAUGGAGACAAAAUAUAAAGAAAAUAAUUAUUAACCAUUAGUUAUAUUAGGAGAAUCCUCAGAGGUAUAUCCUGAAAAUCAACCAAUUGAUGACGUAACUAGAUUCUCAUCAAAUUAUUAGUUGAUAAUUUUUGCUAUUAUAAGCCUAUAAUUCUGUAUCGAUAUAAGUGUUAAGGUCUAUAUAGUAAACAUGCUCGAGCUUCUUCUUUUUUAACACAAACAUUUUCAAGCUCUAGAAAGUAAAAGGGCCACCUUUUUAAAAUGUCCCUGAUUAUCUUUUUUUUUCUGACAAAAAAAGAAUAUUAACAAUAAAGUCUUGCAGAAAUAAAAUAGAUCAAAUUAGUAUUUUAAAAAUGAUUUUAUUGCAAAAGGGCCACCUUUUUAAAAUGUCCCUGAUCAUCAACCGGCCAGACAAAAUCACCAAAAUUAUUAUAAACAUAUUCAUCUGUAUGGUAACAUUUUUAUAGAAUAUAUACAGAAAAAUUUACAAGUUAAAGCACCAACUAAUAAUUGUCUAGAUUUUAAAUUUCAAUUGAGUUGUCUAUCUUUCAAAAUUUACUGUAUCAUUAGAGUUACAAAAUACAGAAUAAAUAUAAUUAAAAUUUAUAAUACUAGUAGUAGAAAUAAAAUAGAUCAAAUUAGUAUUUUAAAAAUGAUUAAUAAAUAAAAUUACUGCAAUUUAUAUAAAAGAAAGAACUUUUAAAUUUUAAACCAAAAUAUUGUUUUUAAUGAUUAGGAGAGUUUGUCUGUGUAGAAUAUAAUCCAAAAUAAGUUAAAUUAACUAUGUUGAGGAGAGUGUACUCUUCCGACAUAAUUUAAACGUGUAACCCCUUCAAAACUUACUAGAUACAAUAAAAUCUCUAUAAAUUAAUAAACGCUUUAAAUUAAUAAAAAAAAUUAUCUCGAAGCCGAUUCAAAAUAUGAUACAAAUGGAUAAAAUAAUAAGAUGAUAAAUUUUAGAAAGUCCUAUAUAAAUAUAUAGUUUCAUUAAAUCAUAAAAACUAAUCUAGCUACAUAUACAUUUUAUAUAAGUACAAACUAAAUAUUAUAUUGUUAGUUUUAUAUUCAUAAUGAAAAUAAUUCUAUUUCUUCUUAACAUUUCAAUAUAUUUGAUAAUAUUUAGUAAAAUUAUAUGUAAAACACCAUAUAAAUUCUAUGAAACAUAAAAAAUAUAUACCAAAUAAUAUAGUAAACAGUAUGAAAGUCAAAAAAUUUAAAGUAAUGUAUAUAUGGUGAUAUCAAAUAUUUUUCUAAUUUUGUAAAUAAAAAUAGAAAAAAAUCUACAAAACAAAAAUUUAGUAAAUUAAUAAAAUAUAAAAAUCCAAACAUUAUUAAUUUAUAGCGUUUUUCUGUAUAAAAGUCUUAGCUAAUAAAUCAAAUUUACGUUUGUGCAUUUUUCUUAGGUGCACCAGAACAUUUUUUUUUUUUGUAAUAGGCUUGCUAGCACCAGAACAUUGUUUAAUAGACAUAAGAUCAAAUUGAAGCUAAAAAAAUGUUCUAUCUUGCAGUUCUCCUUUUAUAUAUCUUUCUAACUUUUAAUACAAUCAUUCUGUUUAAAUUAAUGAACAAACGUCCGCUGAAAACUAUUAAUAAAUGAAAAGAUAUAAAAUAGAUUAUGAUAUUAUAAAAAUAAAUGAAAAUAUAUUUAAAUACAUUUUUCUGAACAAUUAUACAUCUCCAUAAUUUUACCAGUCCAAAUCAAGUCAAAAGUACAUUAUUCUGAACAAUUAUAUAUUAAAUAACAAUUUUUUUUUAACUAUGUCUUCUACUUAUGUGCACCUUGCGAAACCGCUAAUGUAAACUAAAUCAAGUCAAAAGUACUUUUCCGUUUCAGUAUAAACAAUGUUUACAGACAAUACCAAACCGUUAAAAAUCAAUUAGGUAAAAAAUUCUUUCUCAAAUAAAAAAAUUAGGUAAAAUGAUUUAUACUUGAGAAACGGAAUAGAACGAAAUUAUAACAAAUUAACAAGAGGCUAUAAUCUAAUCAUCGUUAGCAAAAAGAGAAGAAGAUCAAUAUCUAAUCAUUGAAUUAACGCUUAAUCCAUUAUAAACAAUAAAUAAAAUGAUUAGACUUCCAAUAACUUCGUUUGUCGUAUUCACUUGAUGGAGCUGGGAAGUACAUAAAUACAAGUACAGCGCUUAAUGUGUGACUAUCCAUGUGGCUAAUCAUGUAGUUUAUUAAUUUAAAAUUGCUGGAGUUACAUUUAAAAAUCAGUUCAAAUGAAAAUAAUGUUAAUAAUCUAAUGGAGCACGUAUCCCUAAUCUUUUCCAAAGGACACAUGCUGACUUUGGCUGCUAAAUCGAGAUCUUUAGGUAUGUCGUCUGUUAGUUAGUAGUUAAUUUUAAAAAUAUAUCUUCCACAAAGAAGGUCAUGUAUCAUGUUUAGCCUUCUUUGAUCGCGAAGUCAGUAACUGGUUUUGAUAAUUUUAUAUCUUUUAAAUUAAACCAUAUUUUAAUGUUUGAACCAAAAACUAAUGAAAAUUAGAAAACAAACAACAUAAUAGUUUUUUUUUUUUGAGAAAACAACAUAAUAGUUCGUUUGUAUCUCGCGAUUGCAUGUUCACAAGUCUUAUUUGAUAAUGCAAGUACAAUACUGUUCUCCUAGUAUUACUCCCUUUGUUUCUAAAAAAUAUAUGUUUUAAACUUUUCACAAAUAUUAAAAAAAAAUAUUUAACUAUCAAUGCAUUAAUUUUUGAAAUGAUAACAAUUUUCAUAAAUUUAAGCCAAUAGAAAUUCAAUAAAUUUAAAAUUGUCAAUUAAUAUUUCUUGAAAUUUACAGUUCAUUAUAAAAAUACAUAGAAAAUCUAGAACAUUGAUCUCUUAGAAACAAGUAAAAAGUGAUCGAACAUGCAUUAUAUAGAAAUGGAGGGAGUACUAUAUUAUUUCGAUAUCUUAAAGGAGAGAUUGAUGGCAAAUAUUUUCUUUGAAAAAAUCAAGAUAUACAUUCUCAAAAAAAAAUCAAGAUAUAUACACUUUCUAGGUCUUUAUCUUGCACACAGAGUAAAGUUUAGUUUACACUACUAUAAUAAACCAGUUUAUUUUUAUAGUAAAUACAAUUUCAAUCAUGCAACUAUUUUCUAGUAUAAUAAAAAAAUUCCUUUAUUUUAUAUUUUUCUGUUGCUUUCUUAAUUUUAUAUUUAAUGGUGAUUUUCUUAUAUAUAUAUUAUUUGUUGAAUAUGUUAAUUAAUAAGGCAACAUAUCCAUCUAUAUAUCGAAACUGUGUUGUGUUUUACCACAUGUUUUAAUAAUCAAUCUGAUGAGAAUGUGUAAAUGCAUUUUAUAACAGUAGUAUACGUAUUUGGAGAACUUAAAAUAGAUUAGCAUGUUGCUCAAAAAGCACUCUUGGUGAGAUUCAAAUACUCUAAAGGUUGUAAAUCAGAUAGAUUCUCUGAACGUGAAUGCCCAGGAAAAAUCCAAAAGGGCAGAAUUUUAUUACUUAUUUCUUGGAAUUUAAAAUUCCAUUACAAGAUUUAUAUUCGGUAGACUAAAAACACACAGAAAAAAAAAACAGACAAGAAAAGAUACAUAUUUAUGUAUAUUAUUAAGUUUUACUACUUAUAUCUACUAUAUAAAGAUUCCAUCCUCGUGUGGACCCAACAUCGAACUGAUCAUCGGUGCUUUGAAUGUCUCUUGUCUUCAAUAUAGAUGCAUUAAGAACUUCUCGAUUUUUCACAUAUUUAACGUUAUUUAAUCUUUGAAUCGUAUUUUAAAAUUUAUGUGGAAGUUAUCGAGAGAAUCAUUGUUCUUCCCGAUAUUACUACAACUUAAUUACUGUUGAGUAAUUAAUUAAAUUACAUUCAGACUCUUCAUUGAUUGGUGACUGGAUCCAAAUUCCUGCCUCGUUGUGACGAAGAGAGGAUGGCAUCAAUGGCAUCUUUAACUUGAGAAAUAUCAGGAGCUUUCCCUCCUUGUGCCGGCCAAAACUCAUCGGCCGCAAGUACCUAACAAACAUUAGAUUAUAGCAAUAUAUAUUACUUAAAUAAAGUUUACAAAAAAAAUAUUACUUAAAUAAACAAAAUUAUGUUUUUAUAUAAGAUCAAUCAAUCUCGCGAAAGAAAAAUUUGAGGGAUGUUUGUCACAAUUAAUAUACCUUAACUUGCACUUGAAGAAACUUUACAUAACUAAUGGCCUUCUCUAACAUCGUUACCAAAUCAACCUGCAAGAAAUAACACAUCUCAUCAUCAAAACACUUAAUUUGAUAUUUUUAUAAAUGUGACAUAAAUGUUUUCUGUAGAUGUAUGUGUAGACCUUGGUGCCAUUGGGAACAAGUUCUUGCAAUAUCUUGAGACGUUCACUUAUUCUUUCUCUUCGAUUCUAAAAGAAAAAAAACAUACACUAAGGUAUGAGUUAACGAAAUUGAUAAAAUGACAUUAUUCGGGUUUAGAUAAAAAAAAAAUUGUAACAGUAAAGAAAGAAAAACCUUGGCUGCUAGGCUUUGUGGAUCUUUCGGUGAAGUUGUUGGCUUAGGCUUAGCUUUCCCUUUUGCGCCGGUAGUGGGUUUCUUUGAGGGUGGUUGACUGCUCUCUCCCUAUUCAUAGAGAAAAAUUCACAAAAUAUACGGGUAUUAGUCGGUUCUUGACCUAGAAUGUUGUCAUACCAGAAAUAUUCAAAGUGUUUGACCUUUAUACUUACCGUAUAAGAACGUUUAUUUCCAGUGGAUUUAGGCGAGGCAGACUUAUGUCUAGAACCAGUGGUUACAACAGUUGAAUCAGAAUAUAACCAGUCUUUAUGGACUUGGUUUGUCCAGGGAGUUUCGAUGUGUCUAGGGCCAAUAAUAUCCAUAUGAUGUUGAUUCCAGUUUGUGAAGCUGUAGCUCAUGUUGUUGCCUUCCAAAAAAGAGAAGCCACCGCUAACACCACCGCAACUUAUGGUUGGAGGAGGAAAGCUCUCAUGACGAUCAUCGUUGUGGUCGAAGUUAAGAAAUGAGGAUCCGUUGAAAUCUAACAAAGAGUUGUGAUCCUCGACGGAUUCGCCAGAAGGGUAAAAUACUAUCCCUUGAUGAUUUUGCUGAUGAUCGGAAUUCAUCGUGCUACUGCUCGAAGCCGAAUGUCCUCCUCCUCCGGCAUAAGCUGCGUCAGGCUGAUCCAAUCCGUAGUUCUCCGGUGAUGAGAGAUCUUGGGAUGAGGAGUUUUGUUUUGACACGUACUUUGCCUCGUUGGGAUGGUUAUUAACGAGUGCCAUUAGACACUAAUAAGUUUAAGGUGUUGAUGAGUGUUUUAGGGUUUUGUGUGUGUUCUCUCGUGUAUGAGAAAUGGCUUUAAGGUUGUCUAUUGGUAAGCAAAGAGAGACAAUGUUUUUGUGUGUUUGUAGUUAUGUUAUGGUAAAGGUUUAUAUAAGUGGUCUAUGUCUAAUAUUAUAUUUGAACUGAUGACGCAUUUUUAAAGAUUUUUGUUUUAGUUUAUUGAAUUUGAUUAACUAAUUAAAAAAGAAGCUGGCAUUAAAUCAACCCCAAUAUUUAUGUUCAGUAAUCUUGCCAGUUUGAAUCUUCGAAGUCAUGAAUGCAUACAGUUCUUAAUUCUAGCUAUACAUAUUAUAUGUACAUUGUCCGUAACUUAAAAAAGCAAAUCUGGGAUUGUUGCAUGCCUUAACGUAUAUAGGCCCGGGUUUUUUUUUUUAAAAAAUAUAGUUCCUGGGAUUACUGAACGUGUGUGUUAUUCACUUAUUUUGGAGUGAUUGUCUCAACCCUUUGUAUAUUGAUCAGAAAGUUUCCCUCUUUAUUCAAGAUCUUGAGAUCCAUUUGAGUCCAUCUCCCAAUUUUAUAGAUUGAGACUAGAUAUGAACAUUCUUAAGAUUCAGGUUUUUUUUUGAAAUUAGACCCUAUUCGAGUAUUUGUUUUUUUGGAUCCGGUCCGGUUCGACACAACUAGGUAUUGUGAAUACGAGCAACUUUUUUGAGAUCCAGUCUUUAUCCAUCAUCAGAUACAGUUCAGAUCGAUUAUUUUUAUCCAAAUAACCAUAAAUACAAUUCAGUUUGAGUAUAUACUACCCAAAACAAUAAAAAAACACUCAUGCGUUCAAAAUAUUUACUUUUAUUCCAAAGUAAUCACUGAUACAAUUUAGUUUUGAUAUUUUGUAUCCAAAUUAUCCAAUUUUAUCAGAAAAUACUAAACUACCUACUAUAUUUAAUUUAUGUUUUUUUCUUUAUUUUAGGUACUGGAAUUAUGAGUAUAUUAUAACCAAUAUUUUAGAUAUUUGUUUUUAUUCACAUACUUUGGAUACUCAUUAGAUUCUUAAUUCGAGUCGAGUUCGGUAACGCUGCUUUGGUUCCUACCUCAAAUUUUGGGUCUGUACUGGGUCGGUUCUCCGGGGUAAUUGGUGUGAACAAAAAUGUUAUCAGUAGGUUAUCUACUGCAAAUAGUUGUAGCCAUUAAUUUGACGUUUUGAUAGUAAAAGUCGUGGAAAUUUUGUCAUAAAACAAUUAACCACUGUUAAUUGCACAUGAUCAACAUCAUAAUCUUAGUAAUUUAUUUUAAAUUGGCAUAGAAAAAUCUAGAUGUCGGGAAAAUGUGUGGAUCUCAUAUCAGUACAUCAUUAUCUUUUCGAGUGACAUAACAAAUGGGCGGAUGUAAACUGAAGUGUUGUAUUACAGUAUUUAUGAGUAAUUCAUCGGGAUUGUUAGCUGGCGGUAAGGUGAAAUUAAUGGACUCAGACUUAUAUAACCGCAAAAUAUUUAUUAAUUAAGAGAAGCAAAGAACAUAGAAGCAAAAACAUCGCCGUAUCUUUCGCUAAUCUACACGUCUUUUUGAUUCCCAUAUAUAUGAUCAAAUUAAUUUUUAUAUUUCAGUUGUUUCGAUGAUUCACUAUAUCCUCCGAAGCUGCUUCUUACUUUCUUUUCUUUAGCCGACACGUCGAAUUGGAGUAAUAUACUGCAUAUGUAUUAACCAAAUUUGUUGUAUUUAAUUCUGUCUUCAUUUUAUAUUCUUCCACAGAUCAAUUUUUCUUUCUUUCCCUCUUAGCUUGGCAUGAUUUACAGCAAUUUAUAAGCUGAAAAUGGUUUGAUACUGCAGGAAUGGUUUAUUUUCACACCUCCUGUCGAAUAGUUAUUGGGAAAGAAAAAUGGUCAUAAUUCUUUUAAAUUUUCAUAUUUCGGUCGUUCAGAAAACACAACCUUGGCAUAGGUAUAUAUGGUCCCAAUCGGAUUUUGGUUUUAUCCAAUCGGAUCUCGAUUUUUUUGAAUAUAUAAAAAUCAGCAACAUUUAGGUUAUAUGAAACUUCGAUUCUGGACCGGUUUUGGUUUCUAUCGAGUUCGAGUUAAAUCUUCAAAGAAUGGCACAACCAAAUGUUUUUUCAGGUUCGGAUCCUAAUCGGUUAUUUGGUUUAAAAGUACAUGAUUUGUACCUACUUUGUAACCAAAACAUAAGUAUAAUCAGUUCUUCGGUUUUAAAGUACUUCAUUUGUACCAAUUUUGUAACCAAAACAUAAGUAAAAUCGAUUCAAAAUAAGUAAGAAACAUCAAACAUGAUCAUUCAAAAUCAAACGAAAAGUAAACAUAGUUAUUAAUAAAAAAACCAAAUAAAUGAAAGCAUAAAACAAAAAUCAAGUUUUCAUAAAAUAAGAAACAUUAUUCAAUAAAAAAAAUCUAAAAUUUCAAGCUUCAACUGUCACCUUCAACUAUCACCUUCAACUAUCAACCUUUAUGUAACAAAUAAUUAAUUUAUAUGUUCAGUAACAUCUUAGUAUUUUGAAUACAUAUUAAGAAUUGUGAUCAUGUUUGGUACAAGUUCUUUUUGGGAUUUUGAAUGUUUGGUAAAUGUUUCGGGUUCUAUCGGAUAUCCAUUUAGGUUCGGGUUCAGUUCGAAUAGUAUCCAUAAUCCGAAAUACCAUAAAGCAAGAUACAUUCAGAAAUUUAUGUCGGGUCUGGAACGGUUUGAACUCAUUUUAUCGGAUCGGGUUCGGUUUAUUUGCCCAGCCCUAACACAAACCUUUAGUCCAUAUAACUUAAAAAAUUAAGUUAUAGUUAAAUUUUAUUUUAAAUCUUUGUUUAAUAAACCAAAUUAAACAGAUUGUUAAGUAGUCUAAAGAACCAUAUCUAUACUAUUAUUUAUGAAGUGAUUUUGCUUAUUUGUCAUUUUCUCCAUGAUUUUAGGUAGAUGGUUACACCAAGGUUGUUCAAUUUCUCCUUAUCUAUUUGUUGUGUGUAUAAAUGUUCAAUCCAAAUUACUAGAUCGAGCCGCAGUUGGGAAUUCUUAAGGCUACUAUCCAAAAUUUUAAAAUAUUGGUCUAACACAUUUAAGUCUCCCGGGUGACCUCAUGGUUUUAACUGAUGGCAUAGUAUGUUUAGUGGAAGGAGUGGCUGAAAUUUCUGAAGAAUUCGAUAAGAUAUCGAGUCUAAAGAUCAGUAUUGAAAAAUCAACGAUGUAUCUUGUGAAAAUCACCGAAAAUGUUCGUUCAACUAGAGAUGCGAAAGCGGUUUCAUUUCAAUUAUGGCACAGUAUCAAUGCAACUUUUGGGCCUCUUGCUGGUAACGAAGAAACUUUCGUCCCACAACUAUUGCCCUCUGCUUGAAAGGCUAAGGUCUCAGAUUGGUUCAUGGACUAACAAAUUCAUAAUUUGCGGGGAGAUCAUAUCUUUUAGCUUCGAUACUUUGGACUUUGGAGUAUUACAAAUUUUUGGAUGGCGAUAUUUCGCCUCCCACAUGAAUGUAUUCGAGAAGUAUAUAAGCAUGCUAAGCGUUGUAUAGUCAUGCACUGAUCUUAAUCACAAAAAUGUAAAUGUGGACAGCUGAAGUGCGAAGGGGGUUUAGGAUUGAGAUCAUUAAAAAAAUUAAAUGACGUUAGCUGUUUAAAACUACUGUGGAGAAUAGUUUCCAGAUCACCAUCCUUAAGAAAACUAGAUAAACACCUAGUUGCUCAACAACGACCCAUGUGAUCGAUUCAUAAGAAAACUAGUAAAGGUCCGCGGAUGUGUUGGAAAAUAGGAAGUGUAUAAACCGACGUUCAUGACGAAGGAUACGUGGUAUAAUACGAAACAGAGCCACAAGGACAGAGAGAAAUAAAAAGUAAUGAAGCUUGGCAUAAAGAUAUCUUAUUCACCCAUCGUACUUAGAAAAUUUUCUUCUCUACGUGGUUAGCGACAAGAAACUGCUUUUCAAAAACAUGAACAUCCUGGAAUGUUGGAGUCAGAGUGAGUUGUGUCCUAUGUGCUGACUCACACGAGACAAGAGAUCAGUUAUUCUUCUCUAGCUGAUAUUCUUCAGAAUUAUGGGAUAAUCUCGCAAAGAAUCUCCUUGGUUCAUGCUCUUCCUUGUUCAGUAUGUAUAUCUUUUAGCAAUGAUACAUAGUAUUUAAAGGGAGAGAUAUAUAUGCAAGAAGACAUUGAGAGGCUCCUGCCUCUUCCUCUAGGUUCUAUCAGCUCGUCGGCAAACAAACGAAUCUUCUGAGUUUGAUAUAUAGAUGGACUUUGGGCCUGUUUCUCUUCGCAAAGAUGGUGUAAAGUCAGAGUACAGUUUCUUGUAAAAUUCAGAAACACUACCUGAAAGCUGCACUCAGAUGUCAAAAAAUGUUUCACCAUAAGUGUGAUAUGUAUGAGUUGGCAUAACGAUGCUACUGAUUUUAUGAGAACUUCUUUUUCUCAUUUUGUAAGAAACUGAACUGUCCAACUAUUUACAUUAUUCUUAAUUCUUUAGAAAACCAAAAUCUGAAAUCUUUGACCUAUUAAAACUUUCCAGAAUACUUAAAUAAUUCUCCUUGCCACCAAUUGUACUGAUCUCAAAUAAAUUUUGCAGCUCCGCUGUCCGCUCUUACAUUAUUCAAAAUCUUGUGCUCAAAUUGUAAAGAAGAUUUAGAAAAAUUUAUUUGUUGUUUCGAUGUAUUUUUAUAAUCCCUACGAACCUUCAAUAUAACUUCACAUUCCCUGACCCACGUAAGUGGGAAACUCCUGGAUUAUCAAAAAAAAAAAAAAAAAAACUUCACAUUCCCUCUAAUUGAAAAAUGGGUCAAUUUGCUGAAUAACCAACUUUGGCAUCAAAAUUAAGUAAGUAGCAUUGAUUUUGACGUAAUGUAAUAUCUAUAAUUUAUGUCAAUUAUUAUCCGGUUCUGCCCCUUCUUCCUGUAAUCAUCCGGUAAUAUUGUAUUGCUAGAUAUGACUUGGUCAAAAUAACAUAGGGUGAAAAUUAAAUUAAUACUACUUUAUUUGAUAGAAACAGAUGCAGCCACGUACCAAUUUAAUACACCCAAGAAAUUUUUAUUGCUGGUCAAUAAUGAAUUACUAUUAUUUACAAAGACAUCACGUAACAGAAGUCAUAUAUGACAGCUGUAUGCAACACACAUGAUGGAAAAGAAAAUGUUCUAUUUCAUCUCACCAACAUAGUAGAGUACUAUAAACACAAUUAGAAUCAUAACCAACCUCUAACUCCAACCAACCUCUAACCCUAAAAUACUAGACCCUAAACCAACCCACCUCUAAAUCAUAAAUACUAACCCCUAAACUCGAAUUCAUAAACCCAAACCCAAUGUAAAAUAUCUUUUAUAAAUUAAAAUACAAAAUAGUAUAGAAUUAACUAUUCUAUUUCAUCUCACCAACGUAGUAUAAUACUAAAACCAUCAGAAUCACAACCAACCUCCAACACUGAAAUACUAAACCCUAAACCAACCCACCUUAAAGCCAUAUAUACUAAACCCUAAACCCGAAUUCAUAAACCCAAACCCAAAUAUAAAAUAUCUUUAAUAAAUUAAAAUACGAAAAUAGUAAAAUUUAACUGUUCUAUUUCAUCUCACCAACAUAGUAUAGUACUAUAACCAUAAUCAGAAUCACAACCAACCUCCAACCUCAACCAACCUCCGACCCUGAAAUACUAGACCCUGAACAAACCCACCUGGAAGCCCUAAAUACUAAACCCAAAACCUGAAUUCAUAAACCCAAACUCAAAUGUAAAAAUAAUUUAAAUAAAUCAAAAUACGGAAAUAGUAUAUAAUUACUUGUUCUAUUUCAUCUAACCAACGUUAUAUAAUACAUAUUGAUCACAUUUUGAAGUGUUUAUGAUUGCAGAGAAGGAGGUAAUGCUUACACCAAAUUCAAAUUGACGCAUAUGGAAUGUGAUUCUUCCAGUGUAAGCAACAAAAAGGAAGAAGAUACAUAGAGUUGGAGUCACUACAUAAAACAUUACUACAACACGAAGGUAGUUUAGAUGGUAGUAUCUAAAAACAAGAAGCAAAGUUAGAACAUAAAAACAAUGCUUAGAAACCAUAAACCCAUGUCUACACGUCCUGGGUGAGUGCUCUGGCUUGACACAGUGCCAGUGUUUCAAUCAAGUAGUUCUCCGCAGCUACACAAACAUUUUCUUCAGUGAAAUCCACACACUUCAAUUCCAUCCCAACAACGUGUAUUUAUAACAUAAUAAGUGUCACUACAGCGGAGCAACCUAUACAAAGCCAAAGUCGCUUAGUUCUAUAAAAACAUUUAUUCUAAGCCAAAUGUAUUUGUCUUGGAAUCACAAAGAGAAUAUGACAUGAGCGAACUACAGUCGAUACAUAGCACAAGAUAAACAUUUCUAUUUAUAUGGAAUAGUAAAUCUAUAUAUGCCAUGGUACACAUGGUUACAUAGAAUGGAAUUGUUAUACAUUACCAUUUGCGACGAGUGAACUCCACUCGAUACAUAAAACAAGAUAAUUAUUUCUAUUUGAUAUAGUAUUGUAUAUAUACGUAUAAUUUGGAACAGAAAAGUACAUUGAAUGGAAUAUAAAUUCUAAAUACAAUUUAAGCUAUUCCAUGUCACAUAGCAUAGACCGAUCAAAUAGCUCUACAUAUACUAUCUUUGUCUCGAUUCCAAACAAAAUUACCAUAGACUUCGAUGUAAACAGAUGAGUAAGACAAAUCGGUAAAAGUUCAGCCAUAAAUCGAUUCGGUGACCUUUGUCUACUAGAUCCGACAUGCAACCCAAAUAGGGAAAAAGAGCAUCGCAAGAAUAGAAUCUAAAACACACACCCUAGAACUUACAGUAGUGCAAUAGAUCUGAGACAAAGCGCCGAUGUGAAUGGAAAAAUGGUCAGUGUGCUCCUUCUCCCCGAUUGGACUGUCACGACGUCUUUUCGCAAUAGAUUUCCAAAGUGGAGACGAUUCCCUUUGCAACACAAUUAGAGAAAGAAAUAAACUCAGAGAACACAGACGGUGGCGAUGGGGAGGAGUGAAACGUGGUUGGAAGAGGUGGAGAAAAUCAUGGAUCAAUUUUUCAAAAAUUACCAAAUAAAGGUAAAAUGAAAGAUGUGAAUAUGAUUACGCCACGAGUAAUUGGAAACAGCUAAUAACUAGGAUUUUUUUAUUUUUAUUUUCUUCAGGUUUCACCGGUAGAAUGAAAGGGUAUUUUGGCAAUAUUAUAGGUAAGACAGAUGGUGUAUCGAUAUAUAAGAGAAAUUGGCUAGAAGGUGAAUUAUGGUUUUUUUCAGCGUCAUACAGCCAAAUUUCCCUUGAAAAAUAACCUUCAAAAAAUCACCUAUAUUAGAAAGCAAAAAUAAAAUAAAAAAAUAUAUAUAUAUUAGAGGAAAACUGUUUAGUUAAUAAUAAUUUAUUUGUUUAAGAACAUUAUGGCCCAACAAGAUAAUAUAACAAGCUGAUAUAACCCAAAACCUCAAAUCCAUAGAUAUGUUCGUAUAUGUCAAAAAUUAAAUGAAAAACCCAAACUAAUUCAACACGUAAUGUCUAAUAGAGUAGUCUGUGUUAAUAAAUGAAGUUAGUUAGUAUCAGUUUCGUAAUCCCUUUUUUUUCCUUAUUUUUUUGGUAAUAAUGACCUGGACCGCGGACCUGGUCCGUAAAGGCUUGCUGCGGGACGGGAUUGGGACUCCAUUUGGUAAACCCGCAAAAUUGCGGGCCUCGCGGGACGGGUCAAAAGCGGGACGGAUCGAAAGCGGGACGGGUCAAAAGCGGGAUGGGCAUAACCCGCGGGAUUUUGAAGACCCGCAACCCUAAGUUUCCAUUUAUGCUUUCGCCUAAAACAUUGAGAGAAAGAGAGAUAGAGAGAGAGAGAGAAAAAACUAUUCUUGUGACUUUUCCCCCAUAAAAGAUAAGGAGUUCCGGCGAUGAUGCAUGAUUCGAGCUCCGGUGAUGAGGAUUCGAGCUCCAGCGAUGACGACUCCAGCUCCAGUAAUGACGAUUCGAGCUCUGGUGGUAUUUUGAUUUGGUUUUCUCUUUUUAUUACACACAACUAUGAAUUGCUUUAUUACAAUGUGAUAUUUCUUGUUUAAGUUGAUUAGUUUUGUUUUCAGUAUUGUGAAGUGGUGUUUUUCUUAAAUUAAAUUUGGUUACAGUGGUGUUGUUUAGGAGAAAAGUUAGUUGUAUAACACGUCACUUGUAUAAUUUGGUAAAGUAAUUCACGAAUUUUUUUGCAAUCCAAAUAAUUAAAAAGAGAGAUGGUUUGAUGAAAACAUACAACACUUGAUCCAACUUAUUACAAAGAUAAUAACUCAAUCAGAUUCAAACUCAACAAAAGCUUAUGCUGAUAACAAAAGAAUGCUUUUAACUCAAGAACGCAAGCACAAACGGAGCUUUGUGGCAUUGAUUUUGAUAAGUAUUUAGUGAAGCUAAAUGAGUUAUCUUCAACUCUCUUACACAACUAUUUUACUUGAGCAUUCAUAAAAAAAACUGUAGUAGGCGGUUUGAUAAGGAGGCGUCCCGCGGGACGGCCCGCGAAGGCCUAUAUAUUUUGUGGUACGGGUUUGGGCCGGCAUUUUGAAGACCGCAGCUCGCGCGGGACAGGCCCGCUGUAACCCGCUCGACGACUAACCCGCUGCGGUACGGGACGAAACGGGAUGGGUAAACCUGUUUGACAUCUCUAAGAAGAAUAGAGGAAACUAGAAGCAGAAAAAUUAAAAGAAACUAAACAGACACACAAUCUAAGACACACAAUGACAGACACAAUAGACAACACAUGUAACCGAGACACAGCAGAAUCAGACUUUGACGCUUGCCACAAAAAAAAGAACAAUAUUUAACACGAGAUCCUGAGCCCGGUAGUUUUAAUCUUCCCGAUGAUCAGGUCUUUAAGAUUUGGUUCACCAAAAACAGCUUGCGACAAACCUCAAUCUGCAACCAGCCCAUUCACACUGCAAAACCCAUGGUACAGAACAUCUCAAUCCCUCUUUCAAUAUUCAUUAAUAAUCAUUCAUUUAUAAAGCUAAGAAGAAUACUGUUUAUAUUAGUGUUUUAAAAGUGGUCUAGGCGGCCGUUUAGGUGGUAUUUAGGCACUAGACAAUAUAAGACCGUGAUAAUUACCUUUUAAACUCCUUCAACAAUUGCAAUAUUGAAAUAAUAAAUAAUAUAUAAUUUAUCGUUCAUAAAUUAUAAUAAUUAAUAAAUUGUAAUAUACAUUCUUAUAAAAAUAAAAUAAUAUACAUUUUAAUAUAUGCAUAUAAUGAUAUUUACUAUUUUUAGUACAAAUAUUACAUAUAUUUAAUAUAUUGAUAUAAUUUAUAAACACCUAAACUGAUUAACUAAUAAUUUAGACUUCCGCUUAAUCGUUUUAGACCGUAUGCGUUAGGUGGGCCCGUCUUGAGACAUGUGCUCAAGGCACAUCUGUCCAGGGACCAAAUAUUUUUUUUAAAAUUUUAAUUAGAAUUUAGGGUUUUCUACGAAAAUAUUAAAACUCAUUUUUACAGAAUACAUGUGUUAUUUUUAUAAAUUUGCACAAGGUCCAAUAAAAGAGUGAGACGGAUUUUAUAUAAAAUCCGAAUCCUACUCCAAAAAUUCGUUUUGAUGUUUUUCACAAUUCUUAAAAAAAAAAUAAAAAAAAAAAUAGAUAAUGAUGUUGAGAGACUUGCUACACCAGUUGCGCCUGUGAUCGAAAACCAGCCAAGACUCGACGUGUGAAUUUAUUCUUUGUCGGAGGAACAACUUUCUUUUUGGUCUUACCAUUGACUUAUUUUAGCGCAUUAAAAUCUGAUACGAACCUGGUAUUUCGAGGAUCAUAAGUUUCAUAACUAAUUUCAUCAAACCGACUUUCUGUUUCCACGACAUAAAUCAAACCAAAACAAGUAAAGAUGAAAACUCUUAUUUUUUAGGUAGUGAGAGAAUUUAUGAUACGAGAAUGUAAGUUUACAAUUCUUACUGUAAAAUAUAUAAGAUAGUGACGUUACAAUUAUAAUAUUUUAUUUAUAGAGAUAUAUACUUAUUUACAAAAUAACUAGAUUAAAGUUUUACCACGUAUUUAAAGUGGUUAUUGUAGCCACAGUUUUGUUUUCGGUUCACGUGGUAUUUUUUACCCACACUGUAUCCAUUGUCUUUGUUUUUGUUGUGCUAUUUAUAGCCGCUUUUUUGUAAAAAAAUUUCUUUUGAUUAGUUUUAAUUUGCCAAUUUUAUCAAAUUAUAUUUCCAUUCAAAUAUUAAAAACAUUGCAGAUUCAAUGAAAACACAACUUCAUAUAUAUAAAAGAGUAGGUUCAACAUUACUAAAACAUAGAUAAUUAUAUCAUGUAGAAGAGUUUUAAAGAGUCUAAGAAGACUCUACAAAAAGACAUAGUUAAAGAGUCUAAGAAGACUCUACCAAAAUACCUAGAGUUUUAUAAACCUUGUUACAAAAGAGAAGACAAGAUGAACAACCUACUUCUACUUGCCAUUGACAGGGUUAGGCUGAGUAGUUGGGGCUUGAGGCUGAGCAGAAGUCUGUCCAGUAGGUGCUUGUUGGAGCAGAAGUGUUUGGAGGAGCCGAUUGACACUUUUGAGGCUUUUCUCAAGACUGCCUACACGCAUCUUCAGCUUCAGCUUGUGGGCAAGACCAUUAGGAACGCGUGAAGAAGGUACAUGCUCCCUGUAUUGGGCACUGCCCAGUCCAUAAACAUGUCCCCUCUUACCCUUAGCAUUCUCUGAGAGGAAAGGUAAAACAGUGAAAACCAACACCAACUUGAACAUAACAUAAAACAAUUUUAAUCAACUCAGGUUACAGUCAACUUUGGGCCUAUUUGUUUCUCCAUCUAGAUGAGUCAUUUGGAUGAAGAUGAGAGUUUUGUUUGUUUAGGCACUAAAAGUGCAACUCAUUCAGAUGGAUCAUCUGGAUGACUUUUGGAAAUUUAGGUUUAAUUUUAAAGUCCAUUCAGCUGAACCAAUUUGGAUCAUUUGAAUGGAGAUGGUUCAUUCAAAAUGGUAUAAUGUCUAUUAUGCCCCUAAUGUAAUUCACAAAUUACAAACCUAAACAUAAUAUCAUUUUUGUCACAUAUGAAAACUGACAAAACUACAAAAACACGUUUUCCCGUGAAAACCUAAAAACUAUUUUUUCACGCCAAAACCCCAAAAACGCAAUUUUCCACCAAAAUUGCAAAAACACGUUUUCCUGCCAAAAUUGCAAAAAACGUAUUUUCCGCAAAAACAAAAAAAACGUGUUUUCCCGCUAAAACCGAAAAUCUCAUUUUCCCACCAAAACCGAAAAAUCUCAUUUUUCCGCCAAAACCGAAAAAUCUCGUUUUCCCACCAAAACCGCAAAAAACGCAAAAACACGUUUUUCCGCCAAAAACGGGUUUCCCCGCCAAAAUCGCAAAAACACGUUUUCCCGCCAAAACUGCAAAAACGCAUUUUCCCGCCAAAACCGCAAAACCGCAAAACCGCAAAAAACGAGUUUUCCCGCCAAAACCACAAAAACGCAUUUUCCCGCCAAAAACGAGUUUUCCCGCCAAAAUCGCAAAAAUGCAUUUUCCCGCCAAAACCGCAAAUACGUGUUUUCUCGCCAAAACCAAAAAUUUGUAUUUUUCCGCCAAAACCGAAAAAUCUCGUUUUCCCGCCAGAACCAAAAAAUCUUGUUUUCCCACCAAAACCGAAAAAUGUGUUUUCUCGCUAAAACCGAAAAAUCUUUUUUUUUCCCGCCCAAACCGCAAAAAAAAAAUCGUUAAUUUUGAAAUAAUUCUAAUGUAAAUAUAUUAAACUCAAUAAUUAAAUGUAAUAUAGUUAAAGUUAAUAUCAAACAUAUGAUUAAACCAACACAAGAGUAUUUUGGUGAUUUGUUUACUAAACUCAUUUGAAUGGAAAUGAAAAUAAAGAAACAAACAUAAGAUCCAUUUUGAUGAUUCAUCUAGAUGAGCCAUGUGGAUGGAUAAACAAACAAUCACAAAAAUCUGAAUGGAUCAUUUGAAUAGAUCAUACAAAUGAAUCAUUUGGAUGGAGAUGACAAAUGGUGAAACAAACAGCCCCUUUGUAAAUAAACUGAACAUAGCAUAAGACAUUUUUAACCACAUUCUUAAGCAGACUAAGUCAUAUCUAAUUCCACAUACAAAACAGAACAUAAAACAAUUAAUAGAAUUGAAAUCUUAAGUAAACAUACCUUCAGAUAAGCUUUGUUUAACAUAAGGCGAGAAGGAGCCGAUGAUGCAAUUCGACUCCCGGGUGAUCUUUCAGUGUUAGAGAGCUGUAUGGCUUCGAUCUCUGCUUGAGUAACCAGUUCUUCAGCAUGAUAGUCCACGAAAGUUCCAUCUUUUCGGGUGUGUGUCUUCCUGACUAGGUCAGUGUAAGAUGGCCGUUCAUUAGUACCAGACUCAAUCAUCUGCAAAAAAAAACAUAUUUUACAACAUAUUAGAAAAAGAACAAUAUUUAAAAGUAUAUACAUGAAAAGAUACCAUGUUAUACUCUAUCCUUGCAAAAAACCUAGGUCCUGCAUUAUGCUUGUGGCAACCUUUACCCACAGGAUCAUACUUGCGGGAUUUUGCAGCCUUCUUGCUCUUCUUUUUGGCUGCUUCGGUCGCUCAAUGCUCCAACAGGAGUGUCUGUCAGCAUCAUUGAUAUACUUUAGCUUCUUUUGUUCACACUUCUUCUUGCUAAUCCUUUCACCAAUGGUUGUCCAUAUUUCUUUCUUCCAUAGAGCGUAGACCAAGUCAUUAAACUCAGAGUCCCAAUAGAAAUUUUGCUACAAAAGAAAACAAAAGAGUAAGUGAUUUAAAAACAUGUAAGCGGCAUAUAUAAUGUAUACUAAUAUCACUCAAAUUACCCUAAGGAGUGAAUCGUACUCUCUCAAAUAAGAGGCCGAAUUGUAGCACUUAGGGAUCGAAUUCGGAGGGAGUGAGGGCACACACUAGAUCUAAAUAGUUAUUGAUUAAACUAGGCUAAUAGAUUAUAAAGAAGUAAAUAGCAGAACAGAGUGAACAAGGUAGUUGUUAUAAAGAGAUUGAUUGAUGAGUUGAUGGAAGGAUGGUUGCUAGAUCUAGGGUUUCUAUUCAGGCAAUCAUGACUAUAAUAGUAUAGAAACUAAGGUUGGAUAUUCUAGAACUCAAACUAAUCUAUCAACUUCCGUUUGUUUAGAUUAUCUAUUGUCUAAAUCUAAGACCUCAACUAUCGCUUGUUGUUCUUGAGAAAGUGUCGAUCGACGUUAUCAAUGGAUAGUCGAACGAUACACCUUUCAGUCUGUCAAUCGAUGCAACUAUGGAGUUGUCGAUCAACGUCCCUUCUAGUAAGCUUUAGUGAGCGGGUUUGAACGUGUUCACCAGGUUUAACUAAAUCAGCGGUCGCUUGUUUCUAUUAAUCCUAGCACAAUAUGAAUUAGUUCAGGUAAAAGACCAAGCUUCCGCUUGCACCUAUAAUUAUCUAAGAUCAGGGUUCUCGUUAGCUAGUAUAUAACACAAGCAAUAAGAUCAAUUCAAUUGAUGGAUAUCCAGACAACUCAGCAGUUCUAUAUUUUGGACUAAUCCCUCAUGACUAUCCGAACCCUAAAUCUAACAGGUGGAUCUAUUCAAGCAUGAAUUUUGUCACAGAAAUCAUAGAUGAACAAAAAUAAAAUAGAGAGCAAUGAUAAAACCAAAGGAGUUCUAGGAGGAACUCCUUGAGAGUCCCUCCCUUCUCUCCUAACCUAAGAGAAACAAUAGAAUAAAGCUUAAAGAAAGUGUAGCCGUCAACAAUGGCUUAGAAACACACAAAAAUAGGAGUUUAGAUUGUCAAUGGGUAUUCUGGUAAUUUGUGGUUGCUUUUGGGCUUAAGUCAGUCUUGAAAUAUACUAGGCCCGUGUUCUGGAAUCACCGUUGAUCGACACCAAGGGUGAACCAUCGAUCAACGUUCCUUCAUUUCCUCGUCAUCUCUCUCUCUCUCUCUCGAGACAGACUGACCACUCUUCAGUAAAACGGACAUAACUUCUUGAUCUAACCGUUGGAUUGACCUCAAACCGGUGGCAUUGGGAAUAUAACGCAAAGGUCUAUCAUGUGUCAAAAUAUAAGCCCUAUCGCACCGUGGGAAGGUCUCAAUCCAUAUAUAAACAUCUGACACGUCUGUGCAGUUCUGCAUUCAAAAGGCUCCAAAAGACUCCAAAAUCACCACUUUCCUCCAAAACGUACCUAAACCUGAAAAUAUACUAAAAAGACUCUAAAAUAACUAUAAUGUAUUUAAAAACACCUAUAUACCAUGGCUAAAAAUGGAUAAAAUCCAUGGUAUAUCAUAUACUAGUCACUUACCACAAACGUUUGCCACCAUGACUCCCUCCUUUCAUCAGGAACCUUCCUCCAACUCUUCCAAGGCCACAUGUAGUAUCCUUGCCAAGUUGCCCGAAUGAAAGCGUUGACAGAUGGGCCAAUACCAAACCUAUAAUGAUAACAAACAUCAGUAACAAAAACAAUACAAUCACAAAACAAUCCUAAAAACUAAAAUAUCCUAAGUAACAAUCAUAAACAGAAACUAUCCUAAGCAAUCACAGCCACAAUUCAAAUAGCAGAAACAAUCCUAGUCUAAGAAAGAGAUGUAAUCUUACCAUAAAGCUCCAUUGAGUUUAUUUGGAUGGAGAUAGAGCUGUGAUAGCCUAGCAGGUGAAUUGAGCAUGGCGUUGAGGGUCAUUUGCGGGUAACUAUUGGAACGAUAUGAGGAAUCAGCAUGAUUCAAAGCCAGUACAGUAGCACCAGGAGGCAUAGGAGGAGGCACAACAGUUGUCCCAUGGACUCUUGUUGUGUUCAUUUGUUCACAACCAAAGAAAAAGAACCAUUAGUUAGAAUAUGUAUACAACCGAAGUAAAAAUGACAGAAAAAACAAAAUAAGAGAGACAGAGACAAAACCGAAAUAAGAGAGACAUAGACAAACAAAGAAACAGAGACAAAUCUAAGACAUGGAAAAAUCUAAGAAACUGAGACAAAUCUAAAACUAAACCUGCAACAAGAACAUUUAAGUAGACAGAUACUGAAACCCCUAAAUCGAAACACUAAAGAAAAAAAACGCAAACAAUACAAAGAAAUGGAAACCCUAAAUCGGCAACGAGAAGUUAGGGAAGGAGAAAUAGAGGGUUACCUUGAGAGAUGAGAGUAGGAGACGAGAGAUGUCGAGGCUUGGAAUCGGAGACGGCAAGGCUUGGAAUCAGAGACGACGAGUGCUUUUGUCGGUGGCGACUUUCUUGUUUUCUUUCUAAGUGUUGAGAAGAAACGGGAAAACCGAUAUUAAAACCAUUUCAACAGAGCCACAGUGAAACCAUAGCAAACUGUGGCUGUAUUUUAAUAAUAACAGCAAAAAAAAACAUUUUGAGCAAACAAAACUAAAUUGGAGCCAAACUGAAUGGUUUUCCAAAAUUUCAUCAUAGCCGCGAACAUCCCACGAAUUUACAGUGGCUAAGUUUUAAUAUCAACCGUGAAAAUGAAAAAAAAUGGUGCCAAAACUGAAUAAAUUGGAGCCAAACCGAUUGGUUUCGUCAUAGCCACUAUCUAGCCACACAAUAGUCGUGGCUAUGUUCAAAUCAUGUCCACAAAACCUCUAGCCCCUAAACUAUAACACCUAAACUCUUACCCAUCAACCUUCUCCUCGUACAAAAACAACAUUUCUCAAUCUUUAUACAUAUUCCAAAAUCUUACAAUAUAUUUUACAACCUUACAAAUUAUUUUUCAUCCUUACAACAUAUUUUACAACCUUACAACUUAAUUUUUAUCCUUACAACAUAUUAUUCAACCUUAUUACAUAUUUUUCAUUGUUGCAACAUAUUUUACAAACUUACAACAUAUUUUACAAUCUUAGAAUAUAUUUGACUAUUCCGAAUCAUCAUCUGAAUCACCGUCUGAUUCUACAUCAACAUCUGAUACAUAUUCAUCAUUUGGAGGAUUCAUCGGGGCAAUAUCAUAAUCAGACACAUCAUCAACAAUAUGUGUUCCACCCGUAACAAUGAACUUUCAGCAACUUGGCCACGUCUAUCAUCUUGCCACGCAGUUAAAGCAAUUUCUGAUGUUUUUUGGAUUCUUCGGGAAUAAUUUUUGUGCAUGCCCACCAGUCAUCGCUUGAAUGUCGACGUACCCGUGGAUAAAGAAUAAAACAUGCUUGAUCAAAAUUAUCUGUUCAUGAUACAAUGAAAUCAUAGUUUCAAAUCAUGGCUUUUCAUCAGACAUCAAAUCUCAAAGAACUAUAUCUAUAUUUUUUUUUUUUACUUACCCGGGAAUACAAAAGGAUCAUAUUUUGCAUAUAGUCUUCUUGGUGAGACAUCAACAAGAUCAGAUGGAUGUCUUCUCAUACCAUGAUUUUCCGUGGUAUCAAACCACGAACAUUUAAGGACGUAUACCAUUAGAGAAAAUUCACCUCUAUAAUAGAAUUAUUUAAUUUUAGAAAAUAUGCAGAGGACAAAACAUAAUUGGAUUGGAGAUGCUCUAAACAAUGUUGAUUUGUGAUUAAAUUAUCUUAAAUUGUCUUACAGAUAUUUAAGAUAUUUUUUCUCAUUUCUAAAAAAUAAUAUAAAAUAAAUAUAGUCGACUUUUAAAUUAGAGAUAUUAAUAACGAAAACUAGUAUUUUUCAAAAAAAAAUAACGAAAACUAGUAAUAAUAAUUUUAAUUCACUAGAAAUGUAUAUGUAAUUGACCAUUGUAAAACUUAAUAUGAGCAUGACACAUAAAAUAUUAUUACUAGGCAUGGGCAAUCAGGAUCCCAAUCGAGUUUUGGUUUUUUGGGUUUACCAAAAUCAGUCCCAUUGGGUUAUAUGAAAGUUUGGUUCAGGACCGGUUCAGGUUCUAUUGGGUUCGGGUCGGAGUUAGUAAAUCUUCAAAGAACUGGUAUAAUUCGAUGUACUUUCGGGUUCAGGUCCCAAUCGUUUUUUUGGUUUAAAUGUACAUGAUUUGUAUCAAUUUUAUAACCAAAACAUAAGUAAAAUCGAUUCUUUCGGUUUUAAAAUACUUGAUUUGUACCUAUUUUGGAACCAAAACAUAAGUAAAAUCGAUUAAAAAAUAAGAAAGGAAUAUCAAACAUGAUAAUUCGAAAUCAAACGAGGGUAAAUAUAGUUAUUGAUAGAAAAAAAAAACAAAUUAAAUAAAAACAAAAAAAACAAUAACCAAGUUCUCAUGAAAUGAAAAACAUUAUUCAAUGAAAAACAUUAUUCAAUGAAAACAAAACCAAAAUCUUAAAACUUCAGGCUUCAACCGCCACCUUCAACCAUCAACCUUCAUGUAAUAGAUAAUUAUCUUAGAUGUUCAAUAUAUUUUGGAUAUAUAAUAGGAAUUGAGAUCAUGUUUGGUACAAGUUUCUUUUUGGGAUUUUAAAUAUUCCGGAUUCUAUCGGGUAUCCAUUUAGGUUCGGAUUUGGUUCGGAUAAUAUCCAUAAUCCAAAAUACAAUAAAAUAAGAUCCAUUCGGUAUUUAUGUGGGGUUAGGAUCGAUUCGGAUUCAUUUUUAUCGGAUCGGGUUCGGUUCGGUUUUACAGCUUCGGUUUAUUUGGCAAGCCCUAAUUAUAACUUAACAAAUAAUAUUAAAGAUGUAUUGUUUUUUUGAAUAAUUGAUUCAUAAUGUUUUGUAAAAUUUGAACAAAGCAUCGUACUUGUACUAUAUUCAUAUUGAACGGCGACUACAGAAAUGGGAAACAAUAAUUCGACCGAAACAUCUGUCUUUGUUUGGCAAUUGGCCCAAAGAGAGAGAGAGACUGUUAACAAAACAAAUCCAAGAAGAAAGGGAGACUCCUAGAAACAAAGACAGAUGUUUUGUGUCCAUGAUAAUGGACUGUGAACAGUAGUGGUAAUAAUAUGUAGACAGUUCUUUAAUUGCUUUUUGUCUUGACUGUAAGAAUAUUUUAUAUUCUAAGUGACCUAUGUAUCUAUUGGUUUAAUAUAAAGUUCAAGUUCAUAUUAAUGUUUUAGAUUCUAAUAUAAAAGGCGAUACCGUGAUGGAUCGGUUUCUAUUAAAGAGUUAGAAUCCGGGUGUAUUGAUAACCCUCCUACUUUACCUUAUAUCUAUAAAUAUCCUUAAUCUCAUGAUCAUAUAUGUAAAAGGUAAUAAUAAUGGAAUAUAUUACCAUAAGGUCAAAUAUAUAUGAUGAUAUAUUAUAAUGCACUUGUGCGGUUAAUAUCAAAGUGUUGUGUGGAAGAGGUGUGUUGGUUAAGACACACCCUUUGAUUAAUAUAAAAGUGACUCAUUCAUCAUGUGGCGUAGAUUGUAAACGUACUUACCGUUAAAGUGCAUUUGAUCAAGUCUGAGAACAAGUGUAAAUUACGGUUAUGAAUCGAACUGCAAGUUAUGCGCGGAUCUGGUAGUCGUUGACGUAACCUUAUUUGCAUGAAUAAAUAAUAUGUUCCGUUAAAAGACAAGAAGGAUUCACAUCUCUGCAUAAAUUUUAAUUGUUUAAAAGUGUCAACGUAAAAUCUGGGUUUCACGAUAAAGGCACAUGCAUGAUUACAGAAUGAUUAAGGGGUUUUGUGUAGUGCGCCGUUACAAAAAGAUUGGUUAGAAAUUAAUUAUUUUACUCAAUUAAGUUACAGCAACAUAAAUUGCUGUUUUCGUUGAUUCAUGAAUGCGUUUGAAUUCAUAAUUAUGAGUGAAAUAAUUAAUUCAUUAUGGUUAAAAUUCUGGACGUGUUAACGGUUACUACACACAUGUAUGAAAAGCUAGCAAUGAGAAGUUGUGUCAUGGAACAAACGUGUGCAUGCAUAUUUUUUUUUUUACGGUUAAAUGCUUCCGCUGCAUUUUAUUAAUAGGUAACUUGUGUUAUGAAAUAUUAAAAAAAAUAAAAUAUAUAUAUAUAUAUAUAUAUAACAUAAUAUUAGGAUAAAUUUACCUAUUAAUAUUUUAAUGUUUGUAUAGUUUAUAACAUGUUAGUCACCAAAGUGAUCUUGUUAUUUACUUACAAAUAUUAAAAUCUAUAGAAUUUAUAAUUGAUCUUGAUCAAGGAUGCUAAAUGACAUAAAAGUUUGAUUGAUCAAUUAAAUUAUUAUUUAUAUUUUAGGAGAUCACCCAAAGGUGGAUCAUUAAAUAUAAUUAAUAAUAAGAAAAGAAUUAAUCAUUUUCUACUAUAGUGAAUAAUAUGUAUAUCCAAAGAUGACAUAUUUAUUUGACUAAAGUUGAUAUGAUUAAUAUUAAAGAAUAUAUAAUUAGCAUCAAUGAAAGUACUUAUAUUUAAAUAUUGCCCAAAGGUUAUUUAAAAUAUAAGUGUUAAAAGUUUCUAUUAGUCUGAAUAUAUAUUAAAGUCUCAAAGCACUAACGGGUAAACAUGUAUGAAUGCUUGCAGCUUCAUCAAAUGUAUGAUGGAUCGGUUUCUAUUAAUGAGUUAGAAUAUGGGUGUAUUGAUAACCCUCCUACUUUACCUUAUAUUUAUAAAUGUCCUUAAUCUCAUGAUCAUAUAUGUAAAAGGUAAUAAUAAUGGAAUAUAUUACCAUAAGGUCAAAUAUAUAUGAUGAUAUAUUAUAAUGCACUUGUGCGGUUAAUAUCAAAGUGUUGUGUGGAAGAGGUGUGUUGGUUAAGACACACCCUUUGAUUAAUAUAAAAGUGACUCGUACAUCAUGUGUUGUACGUACUUAUUCUUACGAGUCUCUCUAAAACACAGCACAACAAUUAUAUUUAUCAAAAGGAGAGAUUAAGGAAGGUUUGGGAUUUCUUGUCCAUCAAGGAAAUCACCAAAGGAGAAGGUUAAAGAGGAGAACAUCAAUUGGUGGGAUUGCAUCCAAGCAUGGAUCAAGGUUAGUGUUUCUACCUUCUUUAGAAAUGUGUUAGGGUUGAAUUAAAUCAAAUCUAGAUCAGUUCUUGCUGUUGAAAUAAAUUAACAUGUGGUAUCAGAGCCAUUCUAGAUUUAAUUAAUUCACCAAUUAAGCGUUUGGAAAAGUAAUGAACAUAUAUGGUUUAAUCCAUUUUAAAGAGUGUUCAUGAUCCAUGUAAAAGUUAACAUAAGUUCUCCUAAACUGGACGGCGUAGAUUGUAAACGUACUUACCGUUAAAGUGCAUUUGAUCAAGUCUGAGAACAAGUGUAAAUUACGGUUAUGAAUCGAACUGCAAGUUAUGCACGGAUCUGGUAGUCGUUGACGUAACCUUAUUUGCUUGAAUUAAUAAUAUGUUCCGUUAAAAGACAAGAAGGAUUCACAUCUCUGCAUAAAUUUUAAUUGUUUAAAAGUGUCAACGUGAAAUCUGGGUUUCACGAUAAAGGCACAUGCAUGAUUAAGGGGUUUUGUGUAGUGCGCCGUUACAAAAAGAUUGGUUAGAAUUAAUUAUUUUACUCAAUUAAGUUACAGCAACAUAAAUUGCUGGUUUCGUUGAUUCAUGAAUGCGUUUGAAUUCAUAAUUAUGAGUGAAAUAGUUAAUUCAUUAUGGUUAAAAUUCUGGACGUGUUAACGGUUACUACACACAUGUAUGAAAAGUCAGCAAUGAGAAGUUGUGUCAUGGAACAAACGUGUGCUAAUGAAAGUUAGGUUUCUUGUGGCAUCAAAGACCAGGUCACAUUUCCAAAGAAAGAAUGAGGUUGGUGAAGAGUGAAAUUCCUCCUCAAUUGGAUUUUAAUGACCUACAUGUAUGUAUAGACUGCAUUAAAGGAAAGCAGACUAAACAUACUGUAAAGAAACCAGCCACAAGAAGCACUCAGUUUCUUAGGUUAAUACACACCGAUAUAUGUGGCCCUUUCGAUGCUCCUUCAUGAAGUGCUGAAAAGGACCUCAUCACUUUUAUUGAUGAUUACUCACAGUAUGUAUAUACUUAUCUACUGCAUGAAAGGUCUAAGUUUGUGGAUGUCCUAAAGGUGUUCACUAAUAAGAUGGCAACGCGGCUAGAUGGAAAAGUUUAAGUAGUGAGAUCAGAUAUAGGUGGUAUGUCCUGGUCCAUUUGCAAAAUUGCUUGAAAGUACGGGCAUUUGUGCAAAACACACUAUGCCCAGUACUCCUCAGCAGAGUAGUGUAGCUGAGAGGUGGAACCGUACCUCAAUAAAGAUGGUUAGGAGCAUGUUGAGUAAAUGCUCUUUAUCCCUUUCUUUGUGGAUAUAUGGAUUAAAGACCGAAUCAUAUAUGCUGAACCAGGUUCCUAUUUAGGCAGUUCCUAAGAUUUCUUAUUAACUGUGGACAGAAAGGAAACCUAGUUUAAAGUAUCUACAUGUAUGGGGUUAACCAGAGAAAUAAGUCUAUAUAAUCCACAUGAAACGAAACUUGAUCCUAAGUCUGUCAAUGUAUUUUAUUGACUAUCAAGAGAGAUCAAAAGGGUAGUAUUUUAUUGUUCUAACCAUAGUACAAGAAAAGCUGAAUCGGGUUAUGUUAAGCUCAUUGAGAACGGUGAAACUAGUGGGAGUUGUGAACUACGAAAGGGUGGACAUUAAUGAAAUUCAAGUUAAAGUUCCUUCACCUGAGGUAGUUGUUUAUACACAAUCAAACAACAUGUGGUUGCACUGAUCUCACUAGCUAAAAUAUAUAGUCAGUGAACUUGUCACAAUUCAAUUAGAGGAUAGUGAACCACAAGUAACUUUAAAGCGAUAUGAAAGGGAAAGAAGAUCUGCCAUAUCAAAUGAUUAUGUGGUUGCUAUAGAAAGUGAAUGUGGCUUAAACAUUGAUGAAGACCCGAUCUCAUUCAAAAAGCCAUGGAAAGUGACAAUUCUGGAAAAGGUUGAUGCCACAAAGACGUAAAAAUCUAUGGGUGAUAACGAAGUUUGGUACUUAGUAGAGUUGUCUGAUGGUUUCAAUACCGUUGGUUGUAAAUGGUCUUUAAGACUAAACAUGACUCAAAAGGUAACAUUGGAAGUUACAAGGCUCCCCCUGUUGUUAAAGGUCUCACCCAGAAAAGAAGGCAUUAAUUAUGAAAAGACUUUCUUUCCAGUUUUAAAGAAUGAUUCUCUUAUAGUUGUUUUGGCUUUGGUGGCUCAUUAUGAUCUUAAGUUUCACCAGAUGGAUGUUAAACAGUUUUUCUGAAUGGAAAGCUUAAGGAGGAAGUAUAUAUGGACCAACAUGAAAGUUUCAUUGCCCGCAUGAAAAGAAAAUAUAGUGUGUAAGCUGAGAAAGAACAGGCUCCCAAACAUUGGUAUUUAAAGUUUAAUGAUACCAUCACGUCGAAUAGUUUUAGAGAGAUUAUCCUUGAUCGAUCUAUCUAUAUUAAGGUCAGUGGGAGCAAAUUUUUUGGUGUUGGUCUUAUAUGGUAAUGUAAUUUUGCUUGCUGAAAAUAACAUAGACAUGUUACAUGAUGUAAAGUAGUAUCUCUAAGAACUUUGAAGUGAAAGAUAUGGGUGAGACAUCUUAUGUGAUCAUGAUAAAAAUCUGCCAAGAUAGAUCACAAGGACUGUUGAGUUUCUCCCACAUAAGAUAUAUUAGUAAGAUCUUAGAGAUAUAUGGAAUCGUAAAAUGCUCCAUAGGAAUAGCUCCAAUUCAUAAGAGGGAUAUGUUUAAUAAAAUGUAAAGUCUACAGAAUGAAUUGGAGCGUAAAGAGAUAAAAAUAUUUCCUUAGACAUUAGUGGUUGGGAGUUUGAAUGUAUUCAGCUUGAUAUCAGUUUUGAUAUUGGAAAGUUGGGCCGAUAAAGUAAUCCCAGAAUGAACCACUGGAACGCUGCAAAGAAAGGUCCUCUGGUACUUGCAAGGCACCAACGAGAACAUGCUUACAUAAAAGAGAUCCAAUCAAUCAAAGGUUAUAGGAUUUUCAGAUUCAAAUAAAGCCGGAUGCGUUGAUGGUAAAAAUCAACGUUUAGGUAUUGUUUCUAUUAUUUUUGGGAACAAUUUAAAGGAAAGUGGAAAGUCGUUUGUCAUUGCUACUUCCACUAUUAAGGUUGAAUUGUGGUAUGCUUUGAAGCCACAAUUCAUGUAUGGAGCCUGCGAAAAUUUAUCUCAGGGCUUUGAGCACAUAAGGACGGACAUGAUGGUAGCGGAUCCGCUAACUAAAGGUUUACCACCCAAGGCGUUCAAUGGCCAUGUAGAACGUAUGGGUAUUAUAGAUAAGGCUUUGCUAUUUUAGUUAUGGGAUGCUCAUUAUGUAUUUGACACUGAGAAUUCACAUAAAGUUAUGUUUCUGAUUUAUUUAUUAUGUUAUCAUUAAAGUAUGUGUAUACACUUAUGGUUUGUAGAUAACAUAUGGUUGGUUUGAGAAAUAAAAGUUCUUCUCAUAUAAGGAUUGAUAUAAAAUUAGAAUUGAUUUGUGAUACAUGGAAGGGACUAUGUCGUUUAAUGGCAUACAACCGCCAUGAUUCGAUCAAUCCAAAUUUUUAAUAAAGAUCAAGUGAACUCGAUAGAAAAGUGCACAUUAAAGUUAUUGAACCCUUAAGUCGAUACAAAGGUCAAGUGGGAGAAUGUAAGAAUAUUUUAUAUUCUAAGUGACCUAUGUAUCUAUUGGUUUAAUAUAAAGUUCAAGUUCAUAUUAAUGUUUUAGAUUCUAAUAUAAAAGGCGAUACCGUGAUGGAUCGGUUUCUAUUAAAGAGUUAGAAUCCGGGUGUAUUGAUAACCCUCCUACUUUACCUUAUAUCUAUAAAUAUCCUUAAUCUCAUGAUCAUAUAUGUAAAAGGUAAUAAUAAUGGAAUAUAUUACCAUAAGGUCAAAUAUAUAUGAUGAUAUAUUAUAAUGCACUUGUGCGGUUAAUAUCAAAGUGUUGUGUGGAAGAGGUGUGUUGGUUAAGACACACCCUUUGAUUAAUAUAAAAGUGACUCGUACAUCAUGUGUUGUACGUACUUAUUCUUACGAGUCUCUCUAAAACACAGCACAACAAUUAUAUUUAUCAAAAGGAGAGAUUAAGGAAGGUUUGGGAUUUCUUGUCCAUCAAGGAAAUCACCAAAGGAGAAGGUUAAAGAGGAGAACAUCAAUUGGUGGGAUUGCAUCCAAGCAUGGAUCAAGGUUAGUGUUUCUACCUUCUUUAGAAAUGUGUUAGGGUUGAAUUAAAUCAAAUCUAGAUCAGUUCUUGCUGUUGAAAUAAAUUAACAUUGACACCGUACGUCGACCUCUUCGGAGUUCACUUCAGUUGGUUUUUCUGUUUCCGUCACUCUCAACGUCUGUAUCCGGUAACAUAGAAGUUAAAGAAAAGAAAACUAUAACUUUGGUGAAGUAUUUGAUUUUACUUUCUAAACUAGGUGUUUGCGCCUUGCACAGGGUGAAUUUAUAUAAAAAUUAUUUAAAAAUAUCGUAUGGAAAAAUAAUAUUUAUAUUCUUGAUCGAAUUCAUAUUUUUGGCUCUUAAAUAUUUUUUAAAAAGAUUUUUUUGUUAAUUACAUAAUUUGUUUAUUGUUUAACUGUUCUCAUUUUUAAAAAUAUUUUAGGUCAAAAAAUCACUUAUAAGAACCUAACGUUUAGGCCAAAGAAUCUCAGACCUACUAUUUGGUUACAAUGAAACUAUGUUAGCUCGAUUUUAUAUCAUGAUUUAGUAAUUUAAAAGUUAAUUAAAGUUUGAAGAGUUCACGUGCCAAUCCUAUCUAUCUUUAAUUGUUUCUCUUUUUUUGUAUUGUUUUUUUUUUCAUUUUGGUUAUUGCUUGAUAUAAAUAUUGAUUUUUGAGUUUAUUCUCAUUUCGUUCUUUUGUUUUGGUCUGAAAUAUAGAAAAUGUCUAAGAUUUAAAAUUAUUAAAAAGAUAGAUACUUAGGUUAAGAUCCACGUCUUGCGUAGAAUAAAUAUUUUAUAUUUAUUAUUUAUUUUAUGCUUUCUGCAUAUAUGAAAUAAUAAAAUAAUAAUUAUAUAUUAAAUAACUAAGAAUCAGUUAAUAUUAUGUAAUAAAUUGACGUGUACAUAUAAAUCAAACGACCACUCUUGUUUAUUUGCAAUCAUUUUAAGGUAAAUAAAUCAUAACAAUCAAUCAUAUCUAUCGUACAUGAUAUAUAAUUUAAUUUAAAUGAUAUUAACAUAGAUAUAUAGUAUACUUAUGAAUAUUUAUUAAAUGAGGUUUCUACUCAUAUGAUUUUAUGAUUCUUUGCAUAUUUGUGUAACAAAAUUUUACACUAACGAAUUUUUUUUUAAUGUGAAAAGUUUAGUGGUUUCAAUAAUUUAUAACCAUUAAAUACUUGUUGACAUGAGGUAAAUAAUUUUUUUUAUACAAGGAGGUUUAGAGCCAAAGCAUGCCCAAACUCUGAACCACAUCAUGUAAUAAUAGUUUUGUCCUAUCUAUUUUUGUAGUAACACAACGUCUGAUUCCCUAUAUAUCAAAGUUAUGUGAGGGAUAGCAUCUGUGCCGGUCCGGAGUUUCGUGGCGCCUAAAGCGCAUUAAAAAAACUUGCUCCUUAAUAAUAAUUUUUCAAAAACUUAGUGUUUUAAAACCAAAGAAAAUUUUCAUCAAGAACCCUAAUAUAUUGAUGAUAUAUUAAUCUAUCAUAUUUUAUUAACUAAAAAGGAUAAAAUAAUGAUUAUAAAUAGUUCAUAUGCAUUCAAAAUGUUACUUGAAAAUACUAAUGGUUUCAGAUUACACCAACUCGUAGAUUUCUUAUUUUGUUGCAAGCACAAUUUUCUACAAACACAUUAGUAAGUAGAAUUACUCAGAAAAAAAAAAGAAUAAUGCAUUAAUGAAAAAGAGAGAAGAAGGAAAGGAAAUAUGGUAGUCUCUCAUAUGGCAACAUUUUGAAAAAAAAAAAUUAGAUUUGUUCUAUUUUGUAUGACUAUCAUUUAAUACAAUAUAAAUAAGUAAACUAAGAUUUGUCAAUAAAAGGGAAAAAAAUGAAAACAUAAGUUUUGAACCUGUAUACGUGAACUAAAAAUAGAAGAACUUAAGCCACUUCACUAACAGAGUAUCUUACCAUUGACGCCCCUAAAAGAUUUAUAUUCUCUGGCGUUUAAAGCCCAAGUUUUACGGACUUUAACCUAGGGUCGGCCCUGGAUAGCAUUAAACCAGCAGUGUGCUUAAGUAUUUUAGCCCAAAAAGUAUUCCAGUAUGUUUGUGCAAAUUAGAUUGUGUAGAUGAUGAAAAACAUAUAUCUUGAAAUGUUUGUAAAGGAAAUACUAAGAGUCGUUUGUUUCAUUUUUCUUGUAGAAGAAGGGAAAGGAACGUGCAUGAUCAUCGUCCACGAGCAAUUUUCCGCAUGAGACAUAAUCUCAUAAAAGCGGUGAGGUGUCAGUCAAGUCAACUUCAUAUAAAAGUCCCCAUUUUAUGUCCUUAUUGAUUUCUUCAAGAUUUUUAGUUUGGAUUCAUCCCAUGAAGGUAAUCAUACACAAUAAUUAUUUUUCCUUUCAAAAUGAUUGAAAUUGAUUAUACUUCCUAGUUCUUAAGUUUUUCUUUCUGACAGUUCUUUACAGCCGAAAUAUAAUGGAAUCAUUUGAACGAGACUGAUAGCAGUGACUUUUUGACCCAAAAUUUUGUACUCUGAAGUAAACAUCCAGUUUUGUUUCCUAGUUGGAUUCAGUUAUAUUUUGUGGCAUUCUUAAUAAAGAAAAAUAAUUUCUUUCUAUUUUAAUUUAAUCGACUAUAGAAAGUACUCGAAGAUAGAACUUUAUUUUAGAUAGAUUUUUGUAAGAAAGCCUCAAACAAAUCAUUCAUAGAUAUUUGUGAAGUUUUCUUAUUUGGAUGCAGACCAACUUUUAACCCAAAAAAAAGAAGGUUAUGGCUCCCAAUGGUAACUGCGGUUUAAGCGGGGCGGAACAAGCGGUUCAACUGGCGGUGUGGUUUUAACAGUUAUAAAAACGUAUAGAUAUAUAGUAUAUGCAAAGAUUUUUGUUACUGUUAACUGCGGUGUGGCACGGAACGGUUUCAAACAUUCGAAGCCUGAUGAUUCUACUUCCCUUAUUAUAUCAAAAAAUAUGGGAUCCAUAAUUGCGAGAAUUUGUUUUCGUUUUUGUUUUGACAUCUUAUGUUUAAUUGAUUUCUUCUGUUAAUGUAAUUUAAAUGCGAUAUGACUUGUAGGUCAGUUCUAGCUCAGAAUGUUGAAUGGUAAUACUUGCUAUCUGCGUGGAACCCUCUCCUCCUCAUUUCGGGUAGAAACUGUUUCAUGCUUGGAAAAUGCGCGAAGAUACAUUUUCUAGAAAAAAUAGAUUUGGAAACACAAUGGAAAUAUAUAGUUUCAAUUUGGCACCGUGAAAAAAUCCGUAGAGAUAUACUCUCUCCGUUCCUAAAAAAUCCAUAUUCUAGAUAAAACUUGUGUUUCAAAAAGUUACAUAUUUUAUAUUUCCAAUGUAAUUUUUGUCAAUUAAUAAUGAAAAAUUAUGAAGUUCAAGAAAAUUAAUUGUAUUUCUUAAAAUUUUAUUGGUUUAAAAAUAUAGGAAAUAUAAAAUUAUAAAAAACUAUGUAUUUAUAACUAAAUUUUAAUAUGUUUUAUUAAAAAGUGUGAAAAUUCUAAAACAAUGAUCUUAAGGAACAGAAAGAGUAUUUAAUAUGUUAUUUACUUCAAAAUAAAAAUCUAAAAGGGAUAUUAAUCAUUCAGAGAGAUUGACAAAAAAAAAAAAAAAUCAUUCAGAGAGAAGAAGAUAGUCUAUAAACAAUAUAACGGUGUUCUCUUCGAUAACUUUAUUGUUUAUAUUUUUAUUCUUUUAGCUUAAUUGAUUAAAAUAUAUAGUUAUUGUAUCAAAAACUAUGAGUCUAUGACCAUCAAUAUAUGUAAAUAUGAAUAAUCUGAGAGUCAAAAUUAUCAACAGAAAUAUAGUUUCAAAAGUAUACAUAGUUAAGUUAAAAGAAAGUAUGUGAAACUUUGAAAAUAGAAUUUAGCAAAAAAAAAAAACUUUGGAAGUCGAAUACUGUACUACUUUUCUUUUACGUUAGUAGAUAUUCUAAGAGAGAAGUUUCGAGUCCUAUUGUUUUUAACCAAACAAGUGACAUAUAUAACCUUUUCAUUUAGCAACCAUUUUAUGUUUGUUUUUCAUUUUAGGGAGAGCAAUCAUAUCAUGUUACGCAAUAGUGUUAACAUCUCCGCUAUAAAACUGUAAAUGGUGACUGUUGUCGUCUAACUGAUGUCAUCUUCUGAUCACUUGUGAAGUAUUUAUUUCGUCCAAGCAACUUAACUUUUGAUUCCAACUUCUUUGGAAAAUAUCUACUCCAAGAAAAUAAUUUAUUUACGUUGUUAAAAAUGCGAAUCUCAAAUCUUUAUGUAGCCUGAGUAGACACGGAGUGGGUACCCAAAAUUUUAAAUUAUUUUUUAUUUGCUCGGUACAGUCCGACUCACAACUUACAAUUAGAUCAGCUUCGCAACCAUUCAUAUAUCCUCUACCUCGGUACAGAUUUGAUCGAAUAUCCAUUUUAGAAUAUAUUUAAUAUUUUAUUUUGUUUCAUCUCUAACCAAUAUUAAAUAUUACUCCCUCUAUUUCAAUAUAUAAGUAGUUUUAGCCCAAAAAAAAUUGUUUCACAAUAUAAAGUGUUAACAUAAUCCAAAGUAAUUUAUACAUUUAUUGGAUAUUAUGUGACCAAUCGAAUAAUUCAUACAUUUUUGUUAUUGAUUAAAUUUAUAUGUCUUAAAAAAAAGAUUAAACUUAUAUAUUAAAUGAUAUUUUUCAAAAGUAACAAUUUUCUUAUUUUCUUUUAAAUAAAACUAUUUACAUAUUGAAACAGAGGGAAUAGUAUUUCUUUUGUUUGAUAAAGUUAUGUAUACCUUAGAUUUUUCCGAUAGCAAUUGUUUAUUCCAUUUUGUUGUAUCUAUUAUGGCGGAUAAAAUUGAACACUUACGCAUUUCUAAAUCAUAAUACUAUUUUAUUGUCAAAAUCACGCUAUUUUAAUGUGAUUUCAUCACUAUAAGAAUUCAUCUCCAACCAAUUCGAAAAGACUAUUUUGAUGUAAUUUUCACACAAAAACUCUCCAACCAAACACUAAAAAUUAUGGAGAAUUUGCCAAACAUGAUUCAUGACUGCAACAGAGGUAGCAAGACAAGCGAUCUGGUUACAAGAGCUCCUUGGAGAAAUCACUGGAGUUUUAUUCGACAGAACUACCAUACGAAUAGACAAUCGAUCGGCAAUUGUACUCUCUAAAAAUACGGUGUUUCAUGGACGUAGUAAAUAUAUAUAUUUAAGGUAUCAUUUUAUCAGAGAGUGUGUUGAAAAAUAAUUGCUAGAAGUUGAGCAUGUACCCAAGAGCGAACAAAAGGCAGAUAUUCUAACUAAGGCGUUAAGAAAUCAAGUAAAGAGAGAUGAAAGACAUGAUAGGAGUUCAAGAUUUGAAAGACAUGGAGUUCAAAGCUUGAGUGUCAAGCUAUCUUAGAAGUUAUCUAAAUACAAGUGUUUCUCAUUUGGAUUAGGAAAUCUAUAAGCCAUAUAUAAGGCAUUGUCGAGAGAUGACAUUAAGGUGCGAGUGUGUGAGGUUUUGAGAGAUUAAAUUUUGAGUAAGAUCCUUAAGCAAUAAGAAGAGUUAGUUCUUAUUAUUUUUGAGUCUUUAUACAACCAUUACACAAUACGAACAAUUUGGUGUUGUGAAUCUGGAAAACAGAAAAAUAUUUAUAUUACGAUUGUAUCAUAUUGAAAAUUUUCCAAACGGUAUUUUUUGUGUUGUAAUUAUAAAAUAUAACACUAGUUCUUUAACAGUAUGCAUAAUUAAAUUUACCUUCUUGUUCAGUUAGUCUUAUAUAGGUGUCCACAAAUACAGACAAGCAAUAUAAAAUUUAAUUUGUCUGGACCUCAUAAUUUACGGUCAAGAUAUGUUAUAUAUUUGCAUAUUAUAUAUAUAUAUAUAUAUUAUUUCCUACUAUUAAUUAUGUGAUGUUAAAUUCAGAAUUGAUAAUGAACACCAUUUAGACAGUUAUUCAGCAGAUUUGAGUGAUGCAAAGUAAAUUAUGUAGGAGUUGUUGUUAUUUGAUUUUUUUGAUGGAAUAGGGAGCUGUUGUUAUUGUAAUAUCAUACUAUUAUUUAAUUAUCAUCAAGUAGAUAUUUCACACUUUUUAUUUUAAAUUAAUGGGUUAAGUUAGCAAUGAUUAUUUUGAUUGAACAUUAAAUAUAAUCAGGUCUCUACUCUUUAAAAUCAUGCAUAAUAUUUUCUCUAUAUAUAUAAUAUAUAAUUUCUUACAUGAUUGAUAGAGUAUAAUCUAUAAAAUCUGAAAAUUAUAUUAAUGUCCGCAUAUGAGUUUUAGACCAUCCAUAUAGUUAAUUAAUACUACUGAAACUAUAAAAUUUUAUUCAUAAACAAAUAAAAUACCAUUAAAGUUUAUUACAAAAUAUAUUUAAUAAUGAUAGAAAAUGAAAAACAAAAUUUUUAUCAACUUUCAUUUAAAAACUAAAAAUAAUGAUUCCUCUCUAAACAUCACUCAUUGUAAAACAAAACUAUAAACAGUUAUUAUUUUAGGAUAUUGAUGGAGCUGAAAUAAAUUCUGAAACGAAUUAAAAAUUCAUUUAAAAGAAAAAAAAGUGUUUUAUCUCGUCAUGGCUUUAUCCUUCAAAAUAAAUACUAACAAAUGUCAAACCAAAAGAGUAAAUAGAAACGUUAAAUAUGAUUCUGAGAUAUAAAACACAAGAGGAAUGUCUGUCACAUACUCGACUCACUUUUCUUCUAAAACUCUACUUGUUUUUCUCUUACCUUGAUUCAUGCAAAGUUAUGAAAUCAUCAAUAACAAAAACUAUUUGCUAAAUUUUUUGCUAAUUUUUUUUCCGUUUUUCUUUAUUUUGUAAAUCUUGGCUUUAGCAACCCUAUUGCAUAUUUAUUUUGUAAAAUAUGACAUUCAUUUAUAUUCCACUCUAUAAUAGAGUAGAAUACCAUUAAAACAAAAGUUUACUGUAUAAUAGAAUUAUUAUAUUUUUACCAAUGGAGAUGGUGUGACAAACACAGUUACUUUUGAUUUGUUAAUUUUUUCAAUCGUUUAUUUUGUAAACUAACUCUACUUGAUUUUUCUUUAUUUUGUACACUAACAGACGCAGGUACCUUUGAUUUAAAAUUGUACCCAUAUACAUAAAAAAGAUUUGUUACGUGUAAAAAAUCCAAAAUUUUACAAACCAUAUUAUCUUUUUCUUUUGCAAAGUUUAAACACGGACACAAAUCAUAAGCUAAUUGGGUUAUUAGGAAACAAUUGCACACUAAAUGCCCAACGUAAGUGCACACACAAAACACAAACAAACGACCUUGUAACACUAAUCAAGUUCCACGGUCUCACCAUCUAACAGAUUCCAAAGUUGCUCAACGUCAAACGCCGAGGUUGCUAGCUUUUCUGUCUCUGUAGAUUCUGGAACAAUCGCAUCUGGUUCUUGGCUCUCCUCUAGCAAACUCUUCCACCACAUGUUCUCUCCAUCCAUUAAAUUAUUAACGAGCUCAUAUUUCUCCGCAUCUUUUUUAUAUGUGAUACUAUUUUCACAAACAUUAUUAGUGUUGUUUACUCCAAGGAAUAGAGGAAUAACGUCAACUUUUGGCUUGCCAUUGAAAUGGCUGCAGCCGUUGUUAACCGUGAAGGAUCGAGGUCGAGGUUUGAGAACUUCAUUUUUUUGGGCGGGUUGGGUUGAAGAGCAAGGAAUGUUUCUCUUUCUCAUCUUGGUAUUACAGCCUGGUUCAUGUUUCUUACUCAAAUGGGUGUUCCAGUAGUUCUUCACAUCAUUAGCGGUCCUACCGGGUAAUCUACCAGCAAUUAAAGACCACCUAACCAUGCAUUUGGAUGAGUUGGAUAUAUAUGACUGAAUUUGUUUAUUUACACAGGAAAUAAAGUUGAAUUUAUGUUUUGAAUAUAAACCUGUUUCCUAGAAGCUUAUGAAGGCGAAGAAGAAGAUCAACUUCAUCAGAGCUAAGUUUUCCUUUCUUGAUACUCGGCUUCAAAUAGUUCAGCCAUCUUAGUCUACAGCUCUUCCUGCACCGAUUUAGCCCUACAAAACCAAAUAUUUGAAACAAAAAAAAAAACAAAUAAUUGAUAUAACUAAGCCUAUUAAAUGAACGAACCAAGAAUGCUCUCGUGACUGCUAAAAUUUUAUAACGAAGAAUCUACGUAGACCAAUAGAAAUAAUCUCUUGUUUACACGUAAACACACGUGAAUGCAAAUAUUCGUUUGUCGUAAGUAGAAUAAUACUCUCUACUUGAUGUCUCAGGAAAAGAAAUUUGUUUAAAACUAGAUAAUGUUUUAAAUUUUAUAUGUAAAACUUAUUAACGAUUAAUGUUAUAUAACCAAUGAUAUUCUAUUGUAAUUUUUAUUAUUGAUUGAAGUGUAGUUAGUUAAAUAAUUAAUGAUGUUUUUAUUUAAAAAAUUAUCGGUCCACACCUUGUUAUUAGUCGGAAAGUAUUUCAAACUCGGAUCAAACAGUGUGGUACGUUUUUGGGAUAGUCCACUAUAUAUCACUAAGUGCGUUUUUUCCAGAGCCGGCUAGAUCAGCCGAUAGAACAUAUUAAAAACAAUAUACAUAUUGUAUAAUUAAAUAUUUUCUUAAUCUAUAUGCAUAAUCCUAAAAUAUCUUCUAUUAAAAAAAAGAGGGAAUAUUAAAUAUACAUAUCUUUAUAUGAACACACGGAUAUUUUUAUCUUGAACAACCUUAAAAAGCAUGAAUAGGGAUUUGUUCAUUAAAACAAAAGUAAAAACAAUUUGUGCACCCUCUUUUUCAAAAAAAAAAAAACAAUUUGUGCCCCCCGGUUUUAAAUAAUGUCCCGAAUAAUAGACAGAGAGGAAGAAAAUAGUCAGAGUAAUUGAUUACAUAUAUUUGUGUCUGUGUGUGUGUGCGCAAUAAAAAAAAAUGUAACAUACCUGCUCGCAGAGGAACUUGGUGCCAUUUUCCUUCUCCAUACUUAUCAAUGCAUUGCCUUAAGAGACUAUCUUCUUCAGCAGUCCAUGCACCUUUUCUCAACCCUUUUGGCGAACCCUCCAUGGACCAAGGAUAAACACUAGAAGUAUCUAACCAAAUUAAAACUUACUGAGGAAAGAGGGCUGCAUUUUAGUUUCACGAAUCCUUGGAGGCCUUUAUUUAUACACCUGAGGAGCAUAAGUAAGUGACGUGCAUGUUUGCUAUCCACAUUUCAUGUUUUUAUUGUCGUGCUUAAUUUGUUAUGUUAGUUAGUCUUGCUAUUGAUUUAGACUAGAGAUAGCACCUAGCUUUCUCAACAAAUUAGGAGAAAGUAUUGUCACUGAUUGGUGGCAGAUAUGAUUACAAGAGGGGAGCGGCAGUGUUUUCAUGCAUCAAAAUUAGAACUUAAUAUUGAGAUAGGGUGGAUGCAUAACAAUUAGUCUUUAUUAGGAUUAUGUUGUAUAUAUGAUUUGAAUAUUGUGAUAUAAGUAUUUUGUUAAUAUGAUUGCAUAGUUGAGUUCAGUUAUUUUUUUGUAUUUCUUCUGUAAUCUCCUAAGUUUGUACAUAUAUGUAUAUAUCUUCUAUAAAUAGAAUACAUACAACAUUGGAAUUUAUCGUUCAUAACAUUUGUAAACAUUUGAUUAAUAACAAAAUUAAGUUUGUUUUGCUUCGGAUAUGGUUUACUCCUAGAAAACAAAUAUAGGCAAAAAUAAAUAAAUAAUUAUUCUAUACAACAUCCAGCAUUGUAGGUGUAUAUUAGGGAAAUUUUGGAUAAAUACAUUUACUUGAAAUUUUAUUUUGAAAACUAUAUUUUCAUUUAUCUAUUUUGAAAGCUAGAAUUUUAUUUAAGCUAAAUGACUAAAUUACCCAAUCUAGAUAAAUAUAUUUAUUUUACAGAUUAUUUUUUUGUUUUUAAAUAAUACUCCUAAAUAUGUGUAUAAUAUCUUAUUAUACAAUAUCUUACAUUUAUUUUGAUGAAAAAACUAAAAAAUUGACGUUUUUCCAUUUUCUCUAUUUCCUCAUUCGUCUCUGGGCCUCCAUAUAUUUGCAUCAUCAUCUUUUUCCUCUAGUUCUCCAUUUUUGUAGGGCUUAUAUGUUUGUGUUAUUUUGUUACCAAUAUUCUUAGGUGUAAUUUGAUUUUGUAUAUUCUAGUCAUCUAAUCUCGUAGACAUCGGCUCUUUGUAUAGCCAACAUCUACGGCUGCAGUGGUUUCAUCAUAUGAUUUCUUAUCAUGUUAAGAUUAUUAUUACAUCUUUCAAAAGAAGACCUGAAAAAUCUUUCUAUAUAGCCUGUUGCUUUUCUUUUGAUUCAGAAAACAUCAAAAGUAGUAUCCUUUAUACAGUACGAUAAUCUUUGUAUAUUGUUUGAUGUGUCUCAUGAGUGAUAGAUUUUCUACAUUCAAAUUCUGUAUCCCACAGACACCAAAGUAAGUUCCCAAAACAUGUUUUGAAUGCUCAACACCAUACAUAAACAAUUGGGAUACAUUUCCUCUGAAAUUGACAUAAUGAAGUAAGCACAUAAAUCCACUAAUUCAAAAAUUCACAUACUUUGAUGCUGCUGUGAUAGAUUUUUUCUCUCUCUCGCUACUGCAAAGAUCUACGAGGAUACAUGAAAUCAGGAAAAUUGUAUUAGCAUAAACAUAAACAAUAAUAAUAGUACUUUUGAAUUUGUAAUUUAGUAGUAAUUAGAAUACGUAAUUUUUUAUUUAAAUUUGGAUAAAAAUGUCUUAUCACAUUUCCGAAAGUGUACUUUUCAAAACUUAAAAAUAUAAGCAUAUUAUUCAAAUUUUAAACUAUAAGUAGAGUAUUUUUCAAAUUAUCCCUUUAUAUUAUCUAUAUUAAUAAAUUUGAUAUUUAUCUUCUAUUUAUACCACGUCAGGAACCGCAAAAAAGUUAAACACAACAUGUCAGCAAAAGUUUUAUUCUUUAUUAGAUAAUAUCGGAUAAUCCAGAUAAAUUUAAAUAUUGAAAAAAAACUAUUUGGAUAAUUUUGUUAUUUCGGAUAACUCAAAUAAUUUUAAAUAUUUUGGAUAAAUAAAUAUUCUGGUAUUUCAUAUUUUAGUAAUAUUAUAUAUUGGUAAUUUUAAAACUAAAUAUAAUUUAUAUUUUAAGUACUCAUUCAGUUCUCUGUUUCGUUCUAACACGGUUUUAGAUUUCCAGUUUUAGAAAUAUAUGAACCGCAAAUCUAGUUUAUAUUUUAAGUACUCAUUCGGUUCUCUGUUCGGUUCUAACACGGUUUUAGUUUUCAGCUUCAGAAAUAUAUGAACCGCUCGGUUAUUUGUGAAAUUUGUUCAGUUUCAGAUUCAUUUUUUUCGGCUUCGAUUCGGAUUUUUCUUCUUAAUUAAUAUGCUGAGGCAUAGUUGAAACCAUAGUGAAGCGCAUGUUUUGUUAUUUUCUGUUUGCACAAUUUUUAUUUUAUUUAUUUGUUGCACAUAUUUAGUGGUGGCACAUAUUUUUUUAUUUCAUAUUUUUGGAUAUUUGGUUUAUAAAUAAUAUUUUUUUUUGGUAAUUUUAUAACUAAAUAAAAUUAAUAUUUUAGGUUCUUAUUUGGUUCUAUGAUACGGUUUCGAUUUCAGCUUCAAAAAUAUAUAAACCGCUCGAUUGUUUGUGAAUUUCUGUUUAGUUUUGGAUUGUCUUUUUUUUUGCUUCAAUUCAGUUUUCGGUUCUUAAUUUAUAUGCACGCAUAGUUGAAACGUAAGUGGUGUCACAUGUUUUGUUAUUUUUUGUUUGCACAUUUUUUAUUUGUUGUGUAAUAUUGUUAUGGAAAUAGUGUGUGUUGAGAGGCACAAAGCUUAACCCUCAUUGUAAAUAUGUUUUGAGCAAUUCUGAGUGAUUGUGUUUUUUUGUGUGUUGUGCCCUCAUUUUGAGAGUGAAUGUUAUAUUGUGAUAUUUUGGAAGUCGUGUUGUGAAAAAAAAUUAUGGGGUUGAUGUUAUUGUAUGUGAUACUUCAUACUUGCCAUGGUCCAUGAUCCGCAAGUCACCAGAGAGCCUCGUGAAAUUAUCAACCAUCCAUCUCACCUACUUUGCGUUUACCUUUCAUCUACCAAGAUCAUGUCGAGACCCAUGAGUUCACCUUCUUUCUUUGCAUUACAAGCCUUCCCAGGAGCAAUCGCACCUCGACUAGUUUCGGACACCGUUCGGCUUUCAAUUCAGUUAGAAGUAGGUCACUGUGGCCAUUGAAGAUAGCUGAACUGAAGAGAGAGGAUGUAGAAUUUCUUUUUUGAUAAGAAGAGAAAAUGUGAAAUGAUUUGAUGGGAUUUGUGAUUUUUAGUGAAUCCAACUAUGAUAUUUAUAGUUAUAGGUGUAGUUUUCAAACGUUUCCAUGGCGGUGUGAGUGAGCUAAUGAAUGCGAGAGAGUGGAGGUAGUGAUGAUAAUGACAUUAAUGAGAUCAUUAUAGUGGUUGACUGAAUUCCGGGGGAAGGCGUUAUGUAAACUAACAAUCUUUGUUGGCUAAUUUGUUCCGAUCAUACAUGAUCGAAGAAGAAAGAUUUUCGGGCCGAUAUUUUGGAAUAAUGAUAGGCCCAAACAAAUAAAUCAAAUGCAACAUAAGGCUUUCGUAAGUAGACAACCCAUUUUUCAGAAAGAAAGAGUGAAGAAACAACGUCACGUGUCACAUUUUGGAAUAACCUUCGCUGAGGUAGCGUAUUAUAGAGCCUUUCUAGUGAACUUUAUUAAUAUAGAUAUUAUAUCUUAUAAAAAAAUAUCAAAUACUCAUAACCUUUUUAUUUUUCAGUGACGUAGCAUAAUAUAUAGUAUACUUAAGAUUUUUAAUAUAGAAAAUCACAGUAAAAGUUAUAAAACUUAGGCAUCUCCAAAUGACUAGUAAAAAUGAUAAAACAUAUUUUUUCUGUUUCGCAAAAAGUGUCACUUUGACAUUUUCACACAAAUUAAAAAAAAUGAUUGAAAUAUAUUUAAAUUCUUAUUAAUUACAUAUAUUCAACCAUUGAGAUAAAAAAAAUCUUUAUAAAAUCAGUGCAUUUGUAAUUAAUAGUAUGUUGAAAAUUGCAUUGAAAUUAUAAAAUGACAAACUUCCAUGUAUGUUCUGUUCUGUUUCAAUCUUACUGAGAAAGAACAGGUUGUUGUAGUGUAGGAAUCCCAUACGAUCUUAACAGGAAGAAUUGGAUCAGUAGCAGAAAGUGUCAAGUUUUCGUUCCAUUCUGGAUUCAGAUUAUUUUUUAUCACACGGGUUCGUAGCUUCUGCAUCAAGGAAGAAAACUAUGACACCACAAAAGAUUGGGGUGUAAGUUAAAAAAAAAACAUAACUAAAAUCAGAAUGAUAAAACAAAUCCUAGGAACUUUUCUUUAGCUUUACUAAACUACAUUUAACAUGUAAAAUACCUAAAACUCGUGGUGCAUCGAACCUAUAACAGAAAUUUGUAUGUUCUGUCUCAUUAAUACACAUAAAAGUUGAGGCCCUGGUGAUUGUAAUGGAGAUGUUCAACAUAAUGAGCAUUCCCUUGCUAAAUGUCAAGCGACCUGUUAGUGACGAUCAUAUAAGUCAAUAUAAUGAUUUUUUACUAAAAUUCUCUUAUUGGAUGUAGAAUCUCUGAGAAGCAUAGCCAGAUUCACGACCAAAAAGAUCCAUAACCAAAACGAGAAAACAUUGGAUAUCUGAGAUAUACUCACCUGUAGCAAAUUAGACAUGUCCUUGUUCACGCUUCACUCAAAUGACAAGACAUUGAUACUACUAGUAUACGUCAAUGAUAUUAUGCUAACAAGAAGUGAUGACGCUCUGAUACAAGAACUCCUUCGUGCACUACACAACAUAUUCUCGAUGAAAGAUCUUGGCAAGCCAUGCUACUUCCUCGACAUUGAGAUAUAGUCUAACGAUGGAUCUCUGUUUCUUCACUAGAAAGCGUAUGCUGAAGACGUUGUCUAUCAGGCUGCAAUGUCGUACUGUAAUCCCAUGCCAACCCCUCUUCCUCAGAGAAUAGAAGACCCUAGCACUAAGAUGUUCCCUAAACCAACUUACUUCAGGAGCCUUGCUGGAAAACUUUAGUACCUAAUUAUCACAAGACCCGACAUACAAUACUCUGUUAACUACGUAUGUCAACGAAUGCACUCCCAUACUAUGAGUGACUUUGGUUUUAUGAAGCGGAUUCUACGAUACAUAAAGGGAACAAUCAGUAUGGCAAUGCAGAUUCACAAGGACAAAGACUUGAUAUUCAUGGGAUACAGUGACAGCUACUGGGCAGGAUGCAAAGAAACCGGACGCUCCACGACUGGAUUUUGCAUUCUUCUUGGAUAUAAUCCCAUUUUGUAGUCUGCCAAGCGACAGCCUACAGUCGCAAAAUCAUCUACAGAAGCUGAAUACAAAGCUCUGACCGCUGCUGCUCAAGAACUCACGUGGCUCUCUGCUCUUCUCAAGGACCUCAAUGUCUCUCAAUUCUGUCCAAUGCUUCUUCACUGCGACAAUCUCUCAUCCGUGUAUCUCAGUGCAAACCCAGCUCUGCACAAUCGAUCGAAGCAUUUUGACACUGACUUCCACUACAUCCGUGAACAAGUUGCCUUUGGACUGAUUGAGACUCAACACAUCCCUGCUUCUCUUCAGCUCGCUGAUAUCUUCACUAAACCGCUGGCGAGGCGACCGUUUUUUGAUUUGAGAUCCAAACUCGGAGUCAUUGAGUCACCUACCCCGAGUUUGAGGGGGAUGUGAGUAACUCAAUACAAGCCCAAGAGGAUAAAACCUCAAGCCCAUCUCUGAAGUCCAAUAAGACAUCACGUAAAGACAAAAGAGUCAUUCACUUGUACCUGCAAAAACAAACGUUAGAGAAAGCAAAAAGACAAUUCAGCUCAAUAACAUAUUUGAUUUCUUACAGACUGUCAAGGAUGACUAGACUACUUUACAGCUAAUGAUGAAGAUAAGACAUAUGGCUACACUAAACUAUUGUCAAGUUUCUAUAUAAACUGGUUAUAUGUCAUUUUGUAAAGCAUUUGAAAUAAUAGUGAAAAUUUCAUAUUGCUCAAGGUUUCUAAUCUUUCAUACACAAAAGAGUCCCUAAAAUUUGAUUGAAAAUUAAGGGGCAUGCCGCAAGCCGCAAGCCGCUUGCGCCUUUUUCUCACAACGGUGUGCACGGCUCUGUCUGAAACGAGAACCAAGACGACCCUUUUAUUCCGAGAAUGAUCUGUGCCGCGAGUCUACAUAUUGUGUGGUUUAUUACGUAGUUCUUUCCAAUGAAUUUUCUUACGGGAUCAUUUUUGUUGACCAAAUUCAUUGAUAAUGACAAGCCCAAAAUAAUUGGUGAUUGACUCAAACAACUCCAAUAUUUUGCACUUUGUAUUGAAAAUAUAGCCCAAUUAUGGACUAAUCCAUUUAUUAAAUGAGUCAAGUUAAUCCAAGCUUUAAACCAUUUGAUUUGGAUUGGUUCGACUUUUUUGUCUUUUUAUUUGUGUGUUAAGAAAAAUUUAAAUAAACGUCUGUUGACAAAAAAAAUUAAACUUCUUGUCUCAUUUAUUUAAUUCACGUAUUAAAUAUUAUAUUCUAGCAAAUUUCAUAUGUCAUUGGUAUGUUUUAAAGUAGAUUUCAACAUUAGUAUAGUGUAGAAAUAUAACCACUUAGAUUUUGUUUUUGUUAGUUGUGAAAAAAUUUCACAUACAAUUGUAUCACAUAAUUUAGAAAACAAAAAGACCAUCAUGUAUUUAAAAAAAACUUAUUGUGUUAAGAAAAUAGAUCAGAUAUGUGUUUCGUUUUCGAAAUCAUCUUUGAGUUUUAAAAAAUAUGUCUUCUUAUUUUAUCAUUCUAUUUAAAUUGUUUAUAACAUUAAUUAUUGUCAGCUUUGCUUCCUGAGUUUAUUCCAAAUCUUUGAAAUCCUACAAGAAAAAGUAGAGAUAAAAUAAUAAAUUCUAGAACUUGAGGAAUUAUGAAUCAUCGGUGAUCCAGAUUUAACCUAGGCCGUAUUCCGAGGCGCGAAGUAUCCCAUGCGCAACUUGUUGUGUAGACAAAGGAAUCAAACUCUGUAUAUUAAGAUUCUCAAACCAUAGAUUGCAACCGCUGCACUCGCAGAUUAAUUUUAGGAUUUGAUACAUAAUAAAAUAUAUAAAAAGUGCCAUUGCCAUCCCAUUUACUGAUAAUUGGAUUCGUCAUUUUCGACACACGGACCAGCAUUUGUUUAUUGUGAACCUUAUGCACAUCAAAUAUUAUUUUAAUAAAUAUCUUGUUACCAUUAGUUUUCUUCCUAUUUUAUCAACGGUAUUCUAAAUAGGAUGAUUUUUUUUCUAAAUACUAUAAUUACUAGGAUAAGACAUGCGUCUUUGGCAAUGUGAUUUUAUUUGUAUAUAUUAUCGAUAAUUGUUUUAUAUAUUUGAUCAUUUUAUUUAUAUAUAUACAAAUUUUUUUGCUGUUAUUAUAUAAUUUCUUUCCGAUAGACCGGAUCAAUAUUUAUUAAAAAAUAUGGAAUAAACUAUAAUUAAUAUAUCAUGGAUUAAUCAGAUUGGACAUUAAAAAAAAUUAUGACAUAAAAAUCUUUUUUUCCCACCGAACACAUUCUUGAAAAAAGUAAACAGCACUGUUUCUCACAGUUGAAUUAUUUUGACUUUUAUCUUCCAUAUGUUUUGAAAGGUUUCAGAUCAACCGUCGAAUUGAUACAUGUAAUUUUAAUGUUUUUAGUCGUAUGCUUAAGGAAACUUACAUUUUUGUAAUUUAACGUCGUUUUAAAAAAUUCAAAAUAUAACAUAUAAGAAAAAAUCUAACAUAUAAGAAAUAUAAAACAUAUAAGGUUUUCUCAUUUUUGUAAUUUAAAGUCGUUUUAAAAUAUAACAUAUAAGGUUUUCUCAUUUUUGUAUUUUAAAGUCAUUUUAAAAAAAUUCAAAAUAUAACAUAUAAGAAAAAAUCUAAUUUUUUUAUUAUAUGGUUAAUGUGAUUGUUUAAUUUUUUAAUAAUAUAAAAGUAAAUAAAAAUGAAUUAUGAUGCAUAAAUUGUUAUCAAAUCUUUAUUAUUUAUAGUAAUUAAUUGUCAUAUAUAUGUUAAUCAUAUUAGGUAAUUCUGUAACCUUUAUUUAAGAAAAAAAUACAUGUUUUUUUUUUUUUUUUGGGUUAAUAUAAUGUUCUAUAGUAAUUGGAUUUGCACUAACAUUUUUUUCAAUUGAUUCUUAAGGUGUUAUGUAAGCUAAAUUGGCAUUCUAAUUAAGUAACAUCUAAACAUGAUCUCUUUUAAUUAGUACAAAUUUAAAGUUACAAUUUUUUAAAUGAUACUCAAUUAAUAUACCGAGGAUAAAAAAAACGUAUCAAUUUAGUGACUGAUAGGUUUAUUCUUGCAAAGUCAAAAUUUCAAGGAAGAAAAAUAAACAAGUUCAUUAAAAUUUGGAAAACGUGGUACCUUUAGCAUUCAAAUGCAAUAACACUAUGUAGCAAACAUUUUUUCAACUUCCCAUUAUCUCAAUUUUAUUCCACACGAUUGAAACGCCACGCAGAUGUAGCGAUUAGUUGUCGUGUUUGCCAUCCAAGUAACAAACAACCUUCAUUUUCUUCCACCUUAUACCCAUCAGCUCCAGCAUAAAGGGCCAACAACAUGCUCGCUUGCUUAUACGCAUACGAACCAAUAUUAACCGACUUAAAUCCUCCCAUAGUGAACCUGUUUCUCCACUGAGCCAGUGUCUCGUGUCUCUCAACCCGGUCCUCCCCUUCGCAGGCCACUAGGUUCAAUAUCUGUCGUCCUAAGUAGAGCUCAGACAUCACUCGGUCUUGACUGGGAGGGCCUUCUAGUGAGUCGAAUAAGCUAGAGUAGUAAUGUAGCGACUCGGUAAACCGGUCGAGGAAAACGGCCCCGUUGUGGUCCGCUUCUUGCUCGACUACAGUUAUGAUGUCUGGUUUAAUCGACUUAAUGGUUAACAGAAUGUUAUCGAUUGAACCGGGAUGAGCCAAGAGGCGAUGGAGCUCAAAAACAGAGUUAACCGCUAUGGAUCCAGAACCUGUUCGAAUCUCAAGCAUUUCCUGUUUAAGAUCAGAUAAACUAUUCAAGACAAUGCUCUUGAAUUCGAAAUUCACACCAACUGCAUUAGCAAGCUGGCCAAGUUUCCAUCCAACUUCUUGAAUCGACUGGCCGGUUAACGAAGAACCAACUCCGGUUAACCGAAAAUCCGGUGGACCACCCGGACGGAGAGCUAGAGCUUGAAUAAGAGCCGGCCAUUGCAAGCCUUGAUUAAUCCCUAAAUCAAUAACGUGGACCUUCUCAGCCGUAGCAAACGCCUCAAGUAUCGCUUGGUUCGCCGUGAAGUGAGCGAACUUGAGAUACGGACAACACUCGUAGAAAUGUACCUGAAGAGUGUCCGAAAAUGACGAUAAACCGACGUCAUCACGAGGGUAAAUCCGGUAAAUCCUCCUCGCUAGCCCUUCAGCGAAGUACGUCGCGACUUUCCUCAUCGCACCGGCUUGUGACGAGGCGAGCAAGCCCACGUGCUUAACGAGCACGUCAGCUAGCUUCAGGUUGUUCUGUUGAACCGCCUCCGCGCAAGCCAAAAGCGCGUGUACUAAACGCACGCCCGUUUCUUGAGAAUCCAAAACAACCAUAGACCUUGUUGUCGAAGAAUCGGAUCCUGUUCUCGUCCUUUUGCCACGUGGAUACGCUGCAGAGCCAGGAAUGGCACUGAGUUCGUACUCAGAAUCUUGGUCGGGUAUGACUUGAUCACAGGUAGGGUUAAGAUCAAAGAGCAAGCUAUCGACCCAUCCAGAGAGAUCAGAAGGAUUGUAAUGAACAGUAUCUUCGGAAAGAUGCGAGUUUUCAUCGUCAAGAACAGUAACGAAUUUAGAGUAAUGCGGAAGCGAUAUCUAGGCUUUUGUUUAGAUCUGUUUAAGCUCUGAUACCAUAAUAUGAAUGUAAAGUGUAAUCUUAUUGAUGUACAAUGACGAGUAUAUAUACAAGAGAAUAGAUCCUAUUCCUAAGGAGUUUAGCUUAUAGAUAAAUACAAAUACGAUAUAUCGUUAUCCUAAUAUUAUAUGUCCUUAUCUUCAUACCCCCACUCAAGUUGGUGGUGAAAUGUCUUGAAGACCCAACUUGGAGACCAAAUAGAGAAAUGUAGUAGACGGCAAGGAUUUAGUAAGGAGAUCAGCAGGCUGUUCCUUGGUAGAGAUAUGUUCCAAAGUAAUGAGCUUGGCGACCACGGCAUCACGGACGAAAUGACAAUCAGACUCGACAUGCUUGGUCCGCUCGUGAAAGACAGGGUUAGUAGCAAUGUAGAUAGCAGAUUUGCUGUCACAGUAUAAGCGCAUAGGAGAAGGAUGUGGGACAUUAAACGCAACAAACAACUUCUUUAUCCACUUUAACUCUUUCAACGUAUAAGCCAUAGAGCGAUACUCUGCUUCUGCCGAAGAGAGGGAAACUGUAUCCUGUUUCUUUGUUUUCCAAGAGAUAGGAGAUUCCCCAAGAAGCACAAUGUAAGCACUGAGAGAACGACGAGAGCGCGGACACGAGUUCCAAUCAGAGUCACAGUAAACUGUUACCUGGAGGUUUGAAUCAGCACGAAGAAGUAUGCCCUGUCCAGGGCUUCCCUUAAGAUAUCGAACUACCCUGAGAGCAGCAUCCCAAUGUUCUUGUAUCGGUUUGUGCAUAAACUGUGACAGAAUGUGAACGCUAUAGCAUAGUUCCGGUCGCGUGAAUGUAAGGUAGACCAGACGACCAACAAGACGUCGAUAAGGUAGGGGAUCCGUAAGAACUGGCCCUUUUAUCCGAGCAAGCUGAUGAUUGAGUUCAGUAGGAACCAACACAGGUUUACAGCCAAGAAGACCUGUUUCUGUCAGAAUGUCAAGGACAUAUUUCCUUUGAGAAAGGAAAAUACCUUCUGAACUACGAGCUACUUCAAUGCCAAGAAAAUAUUUGAGCUGACCCAAGUCUUUCAUAUGAAAGCAUCUGCACAAGUAGGCUUUGAACGUAUCUAUUGUAGGGAGGUCAUUGCCAGUAAUGACAAAAUCAUCAACAUAGAUAAGAAUAUGUAGAAUAGUGUUGUUGCGAGUGUAGGAGAAGUGAGAGUAAUCUGCCCUACUCUGAACAAAACCGUAGGAGAGCAAGGCUUUGCUUAGCUUAGCAAACCAACACCUAGGAGCUUGUUUAAGUCCAUAUAUAGCUUUCUUGAGUCGACAAACUUUGGAUGGAUCUGCACCUUUAAAACCGGGAGGAAGCUUCAUAUAAACCUCUUCUUCUAGUUCUCCGUGUAAAAACGCAUUGUGAACGUCCAUUUGAAAAAUAUCCCAUUGUUUGACUGCUGCAAGUUGAAGGAGAAACCUGACUGUGGAGGGCUUGGCAACUGGAGCAAAGGUAUCUGUAUAAUCCAAGCCUUCUCGUUGACGAUUCCCACACGCAACAAGACGAGACUUGUGACGACGUAUUGUGCCAUCAGAGUUGUAUUUUAUCUUGUAUAUCCAUUUGCAUUCAAUCGCUCUCUUGCCCUUGGGUAGAGCGGAGACAACAAACGUCCCAUUGAGGUCGAGGGCUUUUGCUUCAUCUUGCAUUGAGUCUUUCCAAACGUCAAACUGAACAGCCUCAUUAUAGUUGCGUGGUUCAACGUUGGAGAGUAAGGCUGCAAGGAAGGCUUUGUGGCCAGUGGAGAAAGCCGUGUUAGACAAGUAAGCAGAGAUAGGGUAUUGUGAGUUACCUGGAACCGUAGUAGAAGACGCAUGAUCAGAGAGUGGAGUGUUGAGAGAGGGGGUGUCUUUACUUAAAGAAACAUUGACGACAUAGUCUUUAAGAAGAAUCGAUGCCUUGCGAUCACGAUGACCUCGACCCAAUAAUUCAGGAAGACCUGGAGAUAACGGUUCAGGAGAAGCAGAACGUGUAUUCCUUGUAGGAGAUAAGGUUGUAGGUUCAGCAUAGGUAGGGGUAGAAGAUGGAGGAGAAGGCGUACUAGAGGUAGUAGGUAUAACAGAGGUAGUAGGUAGAAUGGUAGUAGUAGGUUGCAAAGAAGUAACUGGUAGAGAGGGAGCAGGUUCAAGAGGUACUGUAGAGGUUACAGGGGAUGAAUCAACUGUAGUAGUAGAAGGAAGUAAAGGAGAAGGAGUGGCUGCAGUUGAGGAGGGAGAAGUGAACGGGAGCAGCCAAUCAUCAAUAGUAAGAUCAGGCUGAAACACCGUGGGAGACACAUGAUCAGUAUCAGGUAAGCCAGGGAAUUGAUCUUCGUGAAAUACAACAUCACGAGAAGUGAAAAACUCAUUAUUCUCAAUAUCAUAUACAUUCCAAGCUUUCUUGCCAGAGGGGUAACCGACGAACAAGCAUUUGCGACUACGUUCAGAGAACUUGUCUUUGUUUCGUGGUCGCUUCUGAGCAAAACAUAAACACCCAAAGACCUUGAGCAAAUCAAAAUUCGGUGGUGAUCCAUGGAGCAUCUCAUAUGGAGUUUUCCCAUCAAGAACUGGAGUCGGUGUCCUAUUGAUAAUGUGAGCAGCAGUGAGAAUA